rnacentral:lncRNA from 1 species
UUAAUUAAUUAACUCCGAUGAGCACCGAUGACAGCAAUUAAGAGAAUUCACAUCAACUAGCUAUGGAAGUGAAAGAGCAGCAGCAGAUCAGAGAGACCGUGUCCUCGAUGGGGACGGUGGUGUCGACGCGGUGCAGGUAGUAGAGGUCGAUGCAGUGGACGCCAAGGCGGCGGAGGCUGGCCUCGCAGCAGGCGCGCACGUACUCGGGCCGGCCGCAGACGGUCCAGGCGCCGCUGGCGUCGUCCCGCGCAAGCCCGAACUUGGUGGCCACCUGCACCUGCUCCCGCGGCAGCUGCUUGAGCUGCUUCCCGAGCAGGAUCUCGUUGGUGAGAGGCCCGUAGAUGUCGGAGGUGUCGAAGAAGGUGACCCCGCGACGGAAGGCGUGCGCGAUGACUGCGGCCGCCGCCUCGUCGUCGAGCGCCGCCGAUCCGUAAGCGCCGGUGAGGCCGAAGCACCCGAAACCCAGCUUGGACACCUUAAUUUGUUUGUCAUCGCAACGAAACCACCCAGAGCCAGAAGAGAAAUGAAACGACGAUCAUGGCAAUGGAACUAUAACGACUCCUGAAUAAUCAGCUGCACACGCAUGCAGAGAUGAGGAGAACAGUGGAUCGGAUCACUCACCUCUAAUCCCUGGGCGCCGAGCUUGACUCGGGGAACCACCACCUGGAUGGCUGCUGCUUGCUCCUCCUCCAUAGCCUAGCUUUCGUCGUAGCGUAGGGGAGAGCAGCAGGACGACAACGGUGCACUGCAGUGGUGUAGUCGUAGAACUACUAGCUCGCACCUAUUUCCGGCGGGAUUCUAACCAACACUUCUCGUUUUUAAGCUUAACCGCAACCUUGUAAUCUAGUUAAUAAUUCCCUUAACUAGCUAGUUAGCUGAUGAUUGUCAUCUUGACACAUGUGUAUUGCUUUCAUAUAUUUCAUCAUGUCUCUAUCAGUCUAUGUCUAUAUAUGUGGUGGGCAUUUAGUUCUUCGGGGCCGGAUACCAUGGAGCCUGGACUUUUCGCUUUCGCCGGUCGCCGCAAAGUCAACGCUCGUCUGAGGUCUUGUCCAAAAAUCCAAAACUUUACAAGAUUCUUCAUCACAUCGAAUCUUGCGGUACAUGCAUGGAACGUUAAAUAUAGAUAAAAAAGAUAACUAAUUGCACAGUUUACCUAUAAAUCACGAGACGAAUCUUUUAAGCCUGGUUACUCCAUGAUUGGACAAUGUUUGUCAAAUAAAAACAAAAGUGCUACAGUAUCAAAAUCUAAAAAAAAUUUGGAUCUAAACAAGGCCUGAGAGUGACCACAAGUUUUUGAAGAAACUUGAGACUGAAGGCAAGGUGCCCAUUUUAGCACGCCACCUGAUUGUAUGGAAAUUUACACUAAUUCUUCCUUCGGUUACUGCUACAGCCUAGACUUUGGACAGCAGCAAGGUUAGUCAUGUGGAAUUGCCAAUCUUUUUUUUGGACUAAUUCCCUCUCUAAACAGUGCCUAGCGGCCUCGACGCAAACACUACUGAUCGAUGUUUCAUCAUGCUAUAAAGGCGGUAGACAUGCCAAUCUUUUUUGGACAGCUUGCAAAAAUGCUUGGAGUGCCUCUGGUGCACUUGUAAUUGCUUCCAAAUUAUGUAAGACGAUUUGGCCCAAGAUUCGUAACUUUUACUAAUGUCCAUGGUGGUAUACCAUAACUAGAUGUAUAAAUAAUAUAUUUAUAGAAAAACUAAAACGUCUUAUUAUUUGAAAUUUGAAAUGGAGUGAGUAGGAAGAAUAAGACUGGUAGUCUAGUUAAAUUAAUACACAAAGAACUAUACAUUCCAAUGCAAUGGUAUAACAAAGCUUGUGUGUUACAUAAAUAGAAACAUGAUUUGUCCCAAAGCAUAAUACCUACCUUCGAACUCGCCAAGUGAACAAAUCCACCAUGAAAUAUAACGUGGGAAGAAUAGGACUGGUGGUCUGUCAAAUUAAUACACAAAGAACUAUAUUCCAAUGCAAUUGUGUAACAAAGCUCAAUGUACAAACUUCAAGGGCUUGUUGCCUUGUUCAGCAAAGCUUGGUAUAGCUGAGGUAGCCAAGGAACAAUUUCUUGUAGAUGCCAGCAGAACAAACUUGCAGCUGAAAUUAAUCACUACCAAACCCCGCGUUGCCCAGCAAAUAGAUUAAGCAAACAUUAUACUAUAUUAUCUAUAUUCCACUUAUUUACCUAUUUCAUGCAGAAAUUUAUGUAAAAUGAUUCUCUAGGACGAACUAUGCAAUGGUACUAGAAUCCAGUUAUUGUUAUGAAUAUCUAUCUGGCAUGCAGAAUACUGACAAUGCUUGCCUACUGGAGUCCCUACUGAACCGCCAUUGAUUUUGCUGCUUAUGAUUUUGUUCUCUACCUUUUGUUUUCCUUUCCAGCAAACUUUUAUCCACUAACAAUCAUGAGAACAGCACCCCGUUUAACAGAUACUAUGCUUCUACCAAAUCACACGCCUCCCAAUUUGUGAGUCAUCCAGCUAGCAACAAUAGCAAAUUACACUGCAUAUAAUGUUGGUAGCUCACUUAUGGGAGGUUAACAUAGAUCUUUUCUCAAUCUAUACUUGCCUACGUUUUGUAUGUUAAUCAAUCGUCAAGCAACUUAUUCAUCAACAGCACUAUUAGAAACAUCUGGGGGCCCACUGGAAGAGCAUCUGCUUGAACUACUGCUUUCAGUGAGAGUGCAACCAUUAAUUUGCUUUAUGCAAUGCUUCUUUGUUUUCAAAUCCGAAGAGGAAUCCUGUGACAAUGGCAAACAUCGAUUAUAACUUAGCUUGCUUUUAUAUCUAAUCAUAAUUUGAACAAAAGAAUUUACUAACUGAAAAAUGUCCCUUACAUUGUUAGCAAUCUCUGAGUGUGAUUGACAUGAAGAACCAGGAGUCUUCAAUUCCAGAUCAGUAGCGAUAUCACCAACAUCACUGCUUCUCAUUCCGCAGCUUGGUUGCUGCGGUGUAGAUGACUUGCUUCUACAGUCUUGUGCUGGAGAGUUAGACCUAUGACUACUUGAAUGGCCAACUGGAGUAUUAAGUUGGUUAGAUGGCUGAUCAGUGGGAAGAUGGCAGGGCUGUGUAUAUGCCAUGUAAGGGAUGCAUGCAUUUGGGAUGGUUCCGGAAGUUUGACUGUGGAAGAAGGGGUAUGUUUGCAACUGCGGAUGCAUGGGUACAGCACCAGAGGGUAUGUGAACUGGGACUGGAUAGGGAUAUGCUGGAGGUGGCCCCAUGACAACAGAAGGCUCCAUUCCAGCCCACGGGUAUAACACUCGCAUUCGUUGCUGAUACUGGUUAUUCAAAUUAUCAACCUCAGAUUUCAGUGAAGCUUUCUCAUCUCUAAGCUCAUUUUUUUCUUGUGUUAACUACAAGUACCAGUAGAAAUGUGUAUCAGGAGUCAGAACAUUUCUGCAGUUGACCUGUUUCUUUGUACUAAUAUUUACCUCACGUGCUUCUUCAGAAAGUGACGUGUAUUCAGCUUUCAGCUUGUUCACCUGAGUAGUCAAAUCUUUCAGCAUUUGGAUUGUGUCACCAAGUAUAGUUGCCUUAUCGUUCCUGGGACGGUCUGGAUCUGGAUAUAGAGUCAACUCUACCACUUCAGAAAUCAAAUAGAUGGAGCUAGUAUUAUGAGUAGCACAUACAACUUUUGAACAUUGUUUAAUUUUGAUUAUGAUUAACUAUCAAAGCUACAACAUAUUUUUUCUUAAUUUUAAGACAAGUAACACAUUAUUUGCAGGACAUCAAACACAAGGUCCCAGACUAGCUUACUGUGAUUAACCUUUCUACAGGUGCCACUGUGGACAAUUACUGACUAAUAAACACUAAAAAUCAAGGGCACCUAUACACAGGCUAAGCCAAGAAGUGGAGACCUUCCAACAGCUCAAGAAAGUGACUUCAAUCCUUUUCCAAGAUUUUGGAUGCAUUAUAUCAUAAUUUUUGUUAUUGGUUAUUUGAAAUAGCUUCAUAAAAGGCUCAUAACAGGGCCUUUGUUAGGUCUGGUGGAUGGAGAAGAAAAAAGACUAAAGAAGCCAGGACUUUGUCCCAAAUGUCCUACACUGAUGCUGAACAGGUCAAAAUUGAUUAGUAUAGAGGGCCGCUUCUAAAAUGCAGUAAAAGAACUUAUCACCCUGUGGUUCACUGCAUAACUGCAUAAGAUCUAUGCAUGUAUGUACGUACAAGUUUCACUGCAGAUCAGCUCAUUAAAGUAUACUGUCAAUACAUAGUUUCACUACUAACACACAAAUAAGGUCAAUGAAAGGUACAUAGCAAAUGUAAGUUCCUUGUGCAUUGUUUGAAGAGAAUGCCCCGAUGAGUAGGAGGGCACAGGAUGAAACUAGUAGAUUUAGCUCCUCCACGCCUCCAGCGACCGCAGCCGCUGUCGGCGAUCCCUGACGCUCUCCUAGCAUUGGAGUUGUCAUUAGCAAGGCGCACCGUUUCUCUGGGUCACCUUUUUCUCUUUGUGAAAUUUCGCCAGAGAUGAAUGUGAUGUACUCUUGUAUUGAACUACACUAGGGGUAUAAUGUUUGUUUGUUCUUCUGUCCAUGAGUCAAUAUUAAUAAUAAACUGAUAUUUUAGCUCCAUGCUAUAGGAUCUUUCAGUCUUCAAUAACUGUCCUUAGUUCGUGGCGGCAGACAACAUCCUACCCCCCUUCGGCUAGCAUGUGUGCUCAUGCUGUGAUGGGUACCACACGAUCCAAUGGAGAUCCUAAUCGAGUCCACUGCAGCAGAAGGAUUGAAUGGUGCCCCUUCCAUCUUUGCAUGGGUCGGUGGAUAGUUCCAAGUUCGCUCCAUGGAGCAACCACCCCUGUCUUUAAAAAUCAAGGCAAUGCAGCAGAAAAUCUGCAUAUAAUGCCUUCUUUUUAGGAAGGGUUCGCUCAGCGCCUUGGAAAAGGAUUUGGAAAACUUGGGGCCCCCUAUGGUCCAAAAUUUUCGUUUGGCUUGCGGUGAAAAAUCAAUGUUGGACUGCUGAUCGCGUUGCCAAGCAUGGUCUUCCUCACCUGGCUCUCUGCCCCCUUUGUGAUCAAGCUGAAAAAUCCAUCCAACACCUCCUUGUCUCAUGUGUUUGUGCCUGCUGUAUCUGGACCUAAGGGCGCCCCAGGCCAAUACCAGUAGUUUUUCAAGCUGGUGGCGCCAAGCAAUAAAAAAGUUGCCAAAGAAAAUCAGGAAAGGCCUCAACUCUCUCAUCAUUCUGAUGGCAUGGGAAAUAUGGAAGCACCAGAAUGAAUGUGUUUAUAAUGGCAUAAGGCCAAAUGUCAUGACAUCCUACAGGUAGUGGCAGAUGAGUGUGUCCUCUGGUGCUCAGCAGAAGCUAAAGAUCUCCAAGAGCUCCUGGUCAGGGCUUUUACAGGAGGCCUUCAUUUUUUAUUUCAGGGGACCUGAUCAUCUUUUUUCAGUUUUUUAUCUGUGGUUUCCCUCUUAUUUUCUUUUAGGGUUUUGUGUGUGUCUUUGAGUGGGAGAACUCCUUUUCACCGAUGUAUUUCUCUCUUCUCCCUUGUUAAUGAAAUGAUACACAAAUCUUUUGCUUGUUUGAGAAAAAAAACAUGGAACUUUCAAGUAGUAUGACAGCAGAACAAAAGAAAUCCUAAACAAAUGUCAAAAAUCAUGAGUUGAGUAGGACAUGUGGAGAUAGCCAAACAUGCAAAGACACAAAGCACUUGCAGUACAGUUUAUGCAGUUAUUAUGCACAUAUCUGCAGUUACAAACACCAUGUGUGAGGAUUACCAGUUCCUGAUAACUUAUUUUUGGUUCGAACAUCAGGUCUGAUAGGGUUAACAUGAUGUGAGCUCCAUGACUAAAGUUUUGGAAAUAUAACUUUUCCAGCCCCAUAAGGAAAAGUUUCCAAUUAAACUACACAAUUAGUUUCAGUAUCAAUAUGCGAUAUUAUUUGAAAAUAUUGAUCAUUACAAAAGUAAAACAGAUAAACCAAGAAAAGAUUGGCAAAGAUACACAAGUAAUAUUUAAAGGAAACAGACCUAAUUGCCUCAAUUAGAUGGAGCAGCACAAUCCUUUUAAUAAUAGAGAAAAAUGUGGUCUAAUUCAACAUUACUUAAAUAUUAUAACCCUUGCAGUGCAUUUGUCAAGUACUGGAAAGGGGCACAGGAAUUAGUAGUGGUAGUUGAUAGAGGGAAUAAAGAUGGUAAUUUGAUUUUCAGUCCCGAUCCCUUGUUUGGUUUGUGGAGGAAAAAUAAGAGGGGGGCACUUAAGUUUGGUGUGUGGAUUUUGAGUCGGAAAUUAUAUGACAAGUUAUGAUCGGUGGAUAGAAUGUAUUUAUCUUCCACUAAAAGCACAGUUCCCACUCAAUUACCACCCCUCCCCUAGGAAGCGAUUAGUGGGGGAUUUGGUCCUCUAAACUCCAUUCCCUGUCCCACCAAAAUUCCCACUCUCAUGAAACAAACAAAAUAUUUUUAAAUUCCUACCUCCUAAGUCCCAUUCCCUCCUUCUAAUUAGUCCGAACCAAACAUGCCCUUGGUAUGCGUCAUGGGAAACACUAUGAAAGAGAUAGAGUAUGACGCGUGAACCAUAAGGACAGCAAGACCAAAACUCAAAUUGGAUACAGACACUUGUAGACCUCAUAAAAUUUUUACCAGUACCAUACAGUAUCUCUAAUAUAAGGCAUUAAAUGUGGUAAUAACUAUAUAUUCUUGUUAACUUUCCUAGUCAACUUGAAGAGAUUGGUAUACAGCAUGAUACUGUGGAAAUGCUAUAUAGUUAGUAUAUGGCAGUAUGGCACUGUAUUGGAGCAUAUGUUGGUUGUAUAGGAUGAACAGGUCGUAGACGUAGCUUGUGCUUUAAGAUAAACAUUCUUGCUGAUUUAGUCUUUCUUUCUUUUCUUUUUAUAACUCAUAGGAGCAACAAGAAAAUCCUUGAAAACUACAUCAUACCAAGUGCAUUUCCCAAGUCCUGGAACUGCUCGUUUAAUUUAUCUCUUCGCAUCUUCUCUCGAUCAGCCUUUUGUACCUUGCGUGCAGAGGUUGAACCCUGGGCUUUACACUCUGCCCUUUGACUUGAUAAAAGAAGGGACAUUAAUUAGAGCAAAUUUCAGGUCUGAUAAUAAAUUGUUUUGUACAAAAUCACAGGCAAGAUGAUCCAUGUUAGAAUUCCACUGGUUACAGGGCCGAACCCAACAAAAGACAUGGGUGUAGACAGUACACAUGUACACCCGAUAAAAAGAAAACCGAAGUUAGUAGGCGUAGUACAUGUAUACACUUGUAAUUAGAUCAGAUUCGAAUACAAAUAGCCACAUAGCUCAAGUUAGAUCAGAUCCGAAUACAAAUAGCCAGAUAGCUCAAGUUAGGGUUCCGGUGCUCAAUUUUACACAGCAGGAAGGAAAGAGAAGGGACGGGCAUACCUGCCAUGGUGGGUUCCGGUCGCCGGCAAAGGCCCCGACGAAGACAUGGGCAGCAGGGGUGUAGGGCGGCGGUCGCUCUAAUUCUCGCGCGCGCGGGGUGAACGGGAGAAGAGAAACAGCAGACUGGUGUGAACGCAAGAGCGCUGAGCGCAGUUCAUCCGAGGCUGUUUACAGCUAUACUUCUCCGCGUUCCCAAUCCAAAAAAAAAAAAAAAAAACUUCUCCGCGCGCUACUGGGCCACUUUCUCUAACGAACGAGCCUAGCUAGCAGACUGGGCCGCAUAAACAUUGGGCUUCGUUCUUCCGCAAAACUCCCCGGCCUGCCGCCGUACUCCAUCCUCUAGUCGAGUUGUGCGCCGCCCUUCUCCAUCGUCGCCGUCCCGCCGCCGCCGCCCUCUCCGUCGUCCUCGCCGACACGCGGCCCUCUUCCAUACUCUCCGUCCUCGCCGGCUCGCGCGGUCCCGCGCCUGCCUCCAGUUCCUCCCCUCGAGGGAAGGUGGCGGCGCCCGAGCCCCGAGAGAGCUUCUCCGAGCGGGCUUAGGCCCGCCGGCGCCGAGUUCUCCUCUGGAUUUUUGUGUGCCUGAGUUGUUCCUGGAAGCACACUCCCAAUUGAAGCGUGAUCAAAUAAAGUUGUUCCAAACAGGGCCCUCGGCUCCGGUAUGGGUGUUUAGAUUGUGGCUCUAGGCGUGGAGUUUCAACAAUGGCAAUCGAGUGCCUCGUGCUAGGUACGCGGCAUCGCGUUCCUCUCUUCACCCUCCUUCGAACGCAAUGCUAACGCUGGUGAUUGCAGGGGCGGGGCAGGAGGUGGGGAAAAGCUGCGUGGUGGUGACCAUCGGCGGGAAGCGCGUCAUGUUCGACUGCGGCAUGCACAUGGGCUACCACGACCACCGCCACUACCCGGACUUUGCGCGCGCGCUCGCUGCCUGGGGAGCGCCCGACUUCACCACCGCCAUCUCCUGCGUCGUCAUCACGCAUUUGUGCGUUGCAGAUAAACAUUUCACCCUUUCCUCUUUUUUUUUCUUUUUGUACUGGUAAUUUUCUUCAAAUUCUCACGAUUGGAUGCGGGCUGAGGAAGCUUGUGCUGUGCAGCCACUUGGAUCAUAUCGGGGCGCUGCCCUACUUCACUGAGAUCUGCGGGUACCACGGCCCCAUCUACAUGACGGUGAGCUAUGAACACGUGAUUAUUGUUAGUGUUACUAGCUAAGUGCCCGUGAGUUACUAUGGCCAACAGAAAUUAUUAACAAAAGUUGCUUCAUGUGAAUUUAACUGCUAAUUGCAAUUUUUUUAUAACUUUUUGUUAUAAUAAAAGCUUCAUAAUUAUUUUGAUGGUAACAAAAAUCAUAAGUUCCUUGCCAAUAGGAAAUUACAAUUAAUAUUAAAAUUAAAACACAAAAAUCUAGCAACACAGUGAGUAUUGUUCAAAAUUGAUCCAGAAAGCAUCGCAAGCAAUAGAAACCAUAAAUCCAGGUUAAAUUAAAGCCAUCAUAGUAGAACAAACCUUGGGUUUGGCUAAGACAUGUCUCUUAAUUGACAUCAGCUGUAAGUGUACAAAUGCAAUAUGCACGCAUAUCACCCCUUGCAAUAUCUGAGUAACUUCCUGGAGCACAUUGAAAUUGACUGAAACAUACUUGGACAUCUUUUUGUUUUCACAAUGGAGAUUGAUGCAGACCUGCUGUGCAAGAUUGAGUAGUUAUUCUUCCAUGAUCAGUAUAUAGAUGGUAUAAUAAAACUGAGGCACCUAGCUAGUUUCGGACUGGUGCUGAUGUUGAAGUCUAACAGAGUAGCCAGUUAGUGUUUACUGAAAAACUAAUUGAAAGCAGCAAGCACAUGAAUAAUAUAUUGAGUAAGGCAUGCUGAAGUUUCAAUGUUCCAGUUAAGACUGAAUGGCGAUCAAUUGCAAUGACUUUAUUCUUAAACUGGAAUGUUACAUUCAAACAAUCACUCAAAACGUACAAAUGUGUGAUAUCAAAACCCAGUUACAGAAUCACCUGAGGAAUCAUAUGGUUAGCAGCCAAGCAUUGUCUUAGCAAUGUGGAUACAUCAUUUGGGCUGGAUAGUAAAGGUAGAGUACAGGCAUCCCCCCCUGGCACCACACGAAUAUUUCUCUGACCAAGCAACCAAUACCUACUUUCAGGAAGAGAAGCUUGGGAAUCGUAUUUGUAUAUCUCCAUCUACAUAUCUAGAAUAUGUCCAGAACCAUGUAUUCAAUAACUAUAGUAUAUAUCUUCAUCUACAUAUAUGAAUAUAUGAAGAACCAAAUACUUCAUAACCAUGAUUACCAUGAAGCAGUUUUGAUGCGGUUGAACUUAAUCCAUAGAAACAAACUAUAACUUUUGCACCUGAUUGUCUUCUAAAUUAGCUAAACAUGCUCUACACAACAUGUGAAAUCAAUUAAAGGCAGAGCAAUCUGGAUUGAUUGGGUUGUUUAAAGUUUGGAUUGUACUGCUUCUGAUCGAAGAAGUAUGCUUGGGUGAAUGGUCUUGCAUUAUUAGCUUAUAUGCUUGGGUGGUUGUAUUCCUUGGUCUCCCUACUUCUUAUAUGAAGCAUCUAUAUGUCGCGAUGAUUGAUGGUCACUCCAUAACUUAUGUCAUGGUACCUCAAUCAGUAUCCUACAAAGGCUUUAGCUCCAUUUAUGCUCGAGGACUAUCGGAAAGUAACGAUGGAUCAGAGAGGGGAGGAAGAGCAAUAUAGCUAUGAAGAUAUUCUUAGGUGUAUGAAGAAAGGUAAUCUUAGUUCAGUUUGGAACUUCUAGUACCUGUCUACUUAGCACUGAUGCUGGCGCAGAAGUAAGCUUGUAUCAUAAUCCUCUUUACUUGUAAUACUUGACCUUUCAGUCAUACCAAUGGACUUGAAGCAGACUAUUCAAGUAGAUAAAGACCUAGUGAUCCGUGCCUAUUAUGCUGGACAUGUAAGUUUCUUACGCUGUUGUUCAUUCAACAUUCUGCUUAGUGUUCUUUAAGUAAUUUGAAGUCAAGUAUUGAUUUAGUUCUCUACUUUCUAAUCUAGUAAAACCGUUGCCAAACUCAAGGUUAUAGGGGCUGCCAUGAUUUAUGCAAAAGUUGGGGAUGCUGCUAUGGUUUACACCGGGGAUUACAAUAUGACACCAGAUAGACAUCUUGGGGCCGCACAAAUUGAUCACCUGAAGUUGGAUCUCUUGAUAACAGAGUAUGGUCUAACCUCAAACUCUAAACAUAUUUUUCUGUUUUCUGGUUGCCUUUACAUGGAUUUGUAACCAAGUGUUGUGAUUUAUGCUACAUUAUAUCCAUAGGUUAUUUCUUAUGUCUUCACACCACAGUUUUUUAUGGGGUGGAGGACCCUGACUAUGUAGAUGGUAGUCAUAAUCGGUAGAGGGGCGAGCGUGUUCACCUUGGUGCCCUAUAUUUGGGAAGAGAGGGAGGGAGUGAUGGUAUUUUGUUGCCCAAGUCCUACUGAUUACAUCUGCUCAGUUAAUAAACACCAAGUUCAGCAACCUCCUACUUCCAAGCACUAACAAACCAAUAGCUAACAAGUCAAAGCAAUCCUAGAACUGACCAAACCAACUGAAACUAAAGACCUUGUAACUUGUUAAGCAGUUGUUGCCGUACUCUCUGGUGUGUUACCGCUAUGCUCAUGGCACGCCUGCACCGCUCUUCAUGGAGCAUCUGCUAUAGUGCUUGCCCUACAUAAAAACAGGGUCUAGAGGGUAUGUUUUACCUAUUUGACUUUUCAUGUCUGUGAUUGUCUUGGUUGAUAUCAGAUUUUGGGAAUAUGCUCCAGACCACCCGUGGACCAUUGCUUAGCUCUUGUUGUUAGCCAAUCUGUUCUCCCGGACAUUGUUUGGGUUAUACUUGUAAAUUAUCUAUAUAGUUUGUUAUUGGACUUGCUACGCAGUUGAAUGUACUAGUUUCUAAUGCUGCGAUAGUCAAUGAACCUGCAUUUGUUUUGUGGUUGCAGUGGCUUAAAGUUUUACUGUUAUAUUUGAAUCAAGAGCAUCUAAUGUUGUGGAUGAUUCUUUUUUCCUGCAUACAUAGCCAAUUAACUGAUUUUCUUUAUGCAGAUCAACAUAUGCUAAAACUAUACGUGACUCAAAGCAUGCCCGAGAGAGGGAGUUCUUAAAAGCGGUAUGCAAAAUCUGAACUUCGCUGCAGUGUAUAGAUUUGUAGAUUUUUCAUUGCAUGUGUAGCAACCAAUGCUUUUCCAAUGAUGCACUACUCUAUUUUCUAGGUUUUACAUUGUAUGUGCUUAAGAUUAUUUGGGCACAAUACAGUCCACCAAGUGUGUCUAUGUUUGUUUUUAUUCCCUGACGUUUUGGUCCAAGAAGAUGCAUUCUGACUGUAUUAAGCCAAAAUCUUGUGAAGUGUACACGGUUGAUUUUGCUUCUAAGGCAUAACUGAGUAUAUGUUUCCCUCUAGGUACAUAAAUGUGUUUCUGGUGGAGGUAAAGUUCUAAUUCCAACGUUUGCUCUGGGAAGAGCUCAGGUAUUCUUCGUCUCUCUUAACUCUACUUUAUGGGACCAAGUGAUGAUUAAGUGUGAUAACUAUAUGACUUAAAUAGUUAAAUGAGCAAGUUUCACUGUGAAGUACCAUCCCGAAGGCACAGUGUUCAAAGGUUUCAUAGUUUGAGUAUCCAUUUAUGAGGUAUGACGCCUGUAUUUCAGGAACUAUGCAUGUUACUGGAUGACUAUUGGGAGAGGAUGGACUUGAAAGUUCCUAUUUAUUUUUCAGCUGGUAUGUGUGGUUUCUUGAAAGUUGAAACAGUCUUUUAAUUUUCUGCUGCAUGUGAAGUUUUACUUGUUGAUUUGUGCUAUAGGUUUAACCAUUCAAGCUAACGUGUACUACAAAAUGUUGAUCGGAUGGACUAGCCAAAAGAUCAAGGACAGCCAUGCAGUGCAUAACCCCUUUGACUUCAAGCAUGGUAUGGUUCAGUUCUACAAAAGCUAAUUGUCUGAUCCUACUUUGAGUGAAGAUGAAGUGCAUAUGAUUGAGUUCAAAAUCCGAAUAUCAGUAGAAUUUUAACUAAGUAACUAACCCUCCAAUUUAUCCUUUUAUUUUUUGCUAUAUUUUGUAAUUCCAUGACACCAAUUGGUUUUUUAUAUUUCUUUAAUGAAACAUUUGUUUAUUUAAUCAUAAUAUUGAUAAUAAUUGUUGCUAUUUCACUUUUUAUGUGGUAACCACAAUUGAGAUAUGAGGUGUUCUGUCUUUUAUUCGCAAAUAUUGAAAUAACAGAGAGUAUUUUUUACAUUUCAGUUUGCCACUUUGAGCGUUCCUUCAUUAACAACCCUGGUCCCUGUGUACUUUUUGCAACACCUGGUAUGAUUAGUGGGGGAUUUUCUCUUGAGGCGUUUAAGAAAUGGGCACCAUCAGAGAAGAAUCUGAUUACACUUCCCGGGUAUACUCCUUACCUUUCUUGUUUAUUCCAUUUUUUAAUCUUUUAGUUAAAUAUCAUAUUCAUAUAGGCAAGCUUUAUGAAACCUAUUAUUCUACAGUUAUUCUGAUGCUGCCUUUCUAUUUUUCCCGACAGAUAUUGUGUUUCUGGAACCAUUGGUCAUAAGUUAAUGUGUGGGAAACCUACAAGGAUUGAUUACAAGGACAUUCAUAUUGAUGUCAGAUGUCAGGUUGAUUUUCACCUCAUUUCAUAUUUUGCUAAAAAAUGUACAAAGUUAAAUACUAAUGACAAAAACAUGGUCAACCAGAAGGAAGCCAUGUAAAACACUAGUGCUUAUCUUUACCAUAUGCUUAUACAUUGUUGAAGUCUGGCUUUUAAAUUCGAUCCAUAUCAAGCUCUACUUAUUGUUCUGCACGAUUAAAUUUUACUCACUAAAGGUUGCUUGCUCAAGGCCCUUAGUUGUCUAGUGCGGUUGGCUGGUUUUGGUCGUUUUUGUUUCUUUUUAUGAGUUUUUGUGAGUAGUAUGUGUUGAGGAGGGGCUUUCGUAGUCUCCUCCCUGUUUUUGUACAUUUUGUACUUUAUCUUAAUGAAAUGGCACGGAGUGCUCCUGUGUUGUUUGAUAAAAAAAAGAAAAAAAAAAUCUACUCAGUACCAUUCAUGAAGCAUAUGAGUGUUAGCACUCAACACAAUAGGUCCACAGGAAACAUGUAAGUCUAGGAAUUGGAGCUUUCUCUGAGAUUAAUCAUGAUGUUUGAAGUUUCUGAUAGAAUGCUGCUGUCAGUGUCUAAUAUCUUACAUUUCAGUUUUGUCUCUUUUGGCACCUAAGAUUUACUCGAACCCUUGCAUUUUUUUAAUUUCUGAUGUUUUUGCCCCCUACACUGAGUUUUUUGCCCCCUUUAUUUUUUUUACCAGAUUCAUCAGCUAGCAUUCAGUCCUCAUACAGACUCCAAAGGGAUUAUGGAUCUGACAGAAUUCCUGUCACCCAAACAUGUAAUUCUCGUUCAUGGUGAAAAGCCUCAGAUGGCUUUUCUGAAGGAGAGGAUCGAAUCUGAAUUGGGGAUGCCUUGCUAUUACCCAGGGAAUAAUGAAUCCGUCUCCAUUCCGACAACCCAGAACCUUAAAAUGAGUGCCACAGAAAGGUUCAUUACAAGCUGUGCUGUGGAGCAAGGUAAACGUAGCCUGCACAAGCGGAACCUGAUUUGUGGUACAGGUUUGUCAGAAGUGAUUGGCAGCGAUGAGGAGGCGGCGGAGGGCAUUCUUCUGAUGGAGAAACACAAGUCUCCGAAAAUUCUUUGUGAGGAUGAGCUCCUUGAAGUGCUGGGCAUGGAGCAGCAUCUUGUCCAGUUUGAACCAAUGGUCUCCAGAAUUGUAGCUGAUGUUGAAUCGGAGUUGCAGCGGGCUAAGGCAGCGGAUUUAGAUAGCGAUGGGAAAUGAAUGCAACAGUAUAAGUGUACAUUGCCAUAAUUUGGCCCAUUAUUAUUUCACCUUUCUUUCCCGACAAUGCGGGGAAUGCCAUACACCACUUUAGAGCAAGUUUAAUAAUACAGUCCACUUGUUGGCUGUAAGGUUCCUUACAGCCUUCUUGCAGCCCACCCAUACAAUAGUUAGCUAUUCACUAUUAAGAGCAAGUAUUAUAGUGGGCUGUAAGCUGGCUAAAUGCUGAGGUGAAGGAGAGAAGAGAGGAGAGAGAGGAGAAGCGGGCUGUAAGCUUACAGCCAGCUUAGGCACAGGAACCAAGGAACUUUGUGAGAGAGACAAGUGGGUCAUGUAUUAAUAGUGAAUAGCUAACUAUUGUAUGGGUGGGCUCGGAAACCUUACAGCCAGCAAGUGGGCUGUAUUAUUAAACUUGCUCUAAUACAUGGUCCAUUUAUCUCUCUCACAAAGUUUUUUGGUUUUUGUGUCUAAGCUGGCUGUAAGCUUACAACCUGCUUCUCCUCUCUCUUCUUCCUUCUCUCCUCCACAUCAGCAUUUAGCCAGCUUACAGCCCACCAUAAUACUUGCUCUUACCUUACCUACAAGCCUUUUUAGGGUCCUUGAGAAUUACCACCUAUUAGGGCACCUGCAGCUGUAAGAGCUAGUUAGUUCCUGGCUGUAAGAUAAUCUCGGUGUUACUUUUAGCAAUGACUCCUAGUAUGAUCGACUUAUAUGACAACCUCACAUGAUAUUGAAAUAUAUAUGAUCUUGAAAUAUGUUGUUGGAGCUGCUCUUAAGUAGACUGGAGAGCUAGGUACCAAAUUUUGGGACCUUCAGUAGGUACGGUUUCCUUGUGCCUUUUAAUACAUACCAAGUUGUAUUAUAUUAUCCAUUAAAAUUCCAUGAUUAGACUAGAAUAAAUUCUACCGACGGUUGAACUUGUUUCGAGUUAUCAUUCGUGGUUCAGGUAUUUAUUUAUUUACAAAUUGUACACACAACUCUAAACUUAUCCCGAGUGUAUUUACAAAUUGUACAUACAACUCUCUAAACUUAUCGCACACUUUGGCUCUCUAAGCCUGCACACUCAACUCUGUAAAACUGCUUUAAGUUCUCAUAUCUGUUCCAGUACUUGUAUCAUAUAGCCCAAACCCUCCUUCGUACUGCACUGUCCUCAGUCCUCACCAUGUGCCAUGGUCGUGUCGUCGUCCCACACCUGCCUACACUGUUUUGCUGGUGUGCCCAUACAACCAUAUAUCAUUAACACGAUAUGACUCCACAUGAGACUAAAAGCCCUUGCUCCACAAGUAUCCUCGUUAACAUGGUAUGACUCCACAAGAGACUAAGCCCUUGGUGACUCGGAUCAGUCAGUGAGGUAGGCCCACUAGUUGUGCCCGCACGCCUCCGGUGGAAACGACCAUGAUAGGUUGAGGAUACCGAGCAUCUCCAAACGUUUGUUAUUUUUUACUUGACAAAUUUUAUGAUUUGUCAACUCUCAAAAUAAUAAGGAAACUAAAAAAAAUAGUACCUCUUCAAGAGUUUGCUAUUUUGGACUUGGCAAAAUGAAAAAAAAAAUCCCACAAGAUGAUUUUUUUCCUCUGGGCCGCGUGCUUCCCCUCCUCCCCUUCGCGAGAACGCCGCCGCCGCAUCGUAGCUUCAUCGAUCGGUUCCCUGGCGUCAGACCUAGCGUGGACCCUAGAAGAACAAUGACUACCCACAGCGUCGGUCUUGCCCUAGCAGACGCCGACUAUCCUAGCUGGACAUGAAGAUUGACGGUGGGAAAAAGAGGGAACCACGUACCUGAACGUUGGAUGGCCUGACUUUGCGUUGAGGAGCGAAGAAUGGCGGCGGUGCAACCUUUUCUUCACACGGAUGAAGGAGAGGCAUGGCCUUUUCUUUGCGCGCGUGGAGAAAGGAAACGUCGAGCCAGAAAUCGAGAUGGCAACUUGAUAUGUCAAGUUGCUAUUUUUGAGCGCUAGAAGUCAUGAUAUGUCAAGUUGCUAUUUUGCCAAGUUGAUUUGCCCAACUGCUGGAGGCAUUUUUUUAUUUUACCAAAAUUCUAUGGAUACUAAGUUGUUUUGCCAAACGCUUAGAGAUGCUAGAUUGACCUCCCUCGGCACAGUUAUCUAAUGCCUUAUUGAAAAGUCGGGUUGGUCAGGGGGUUGGAUGUUCGCUCCACUCCACAAGACGAAGGGCCCAUUGUUAACCUUCUUACAAGUGAGGAUGUGAAUAGGGUUUACCAUGACUUGCCAUGUAGCCACCAUUUGCAGAAUAAGUGGUGACACCAACAAUCGUGGACGAUUGUAGUGUCACUACUCCACCAACUUAGGUAUGGGCAUUCUGUCAUUACUAUACCAAUCCAGGCGUGGGUGGACUAUCACUACUCCAAUCCCGAAUAGAGUGGUUAAGUUGUUACUUUUCUUAGGAUGUAUUUGGUUGGUUGCAUUUGUAUGGAUAGGAUUGGACCAUCCACGGUUCACCGGCGUUUGGUUAGAUGGAUCAUUUGGAUCAGCAAAUCCAUGGAUAGGAAAUAUAUUCCUCCAGAUGUUGGAUUUGCUAGUUCGUAAAAAUCUCACGAACUAGCUCAUCCAUGUCUUCUAAUCUUUGUCAUUAGUAAAAAAAAAUAAGGAUUAUUAGUAUGUUAUAUUAUUACUUAGUAAUUAUGAUGAUAGGAUUAGUUUUGAUAAGUGCUAAUAUUAGUGCAUGUUUCAUGUGCUAAUUGGAUAAUUAGUGGUGUUAAUCAACAUAUUUAUUUCAAAAUAGUGAUUAUCAUGGCAAAAUUAGUAUUAGUGCAUAUUUAUUAGUAUUUAAUUAGUAGUUAUUAUUUUUAAAUAAUAUAUAGAAUUAGUCAACUAUUCUAAUUUUAUCCACUUUUGAAAGUGUAUCUAGCCCUUUGUGGGUUUUGGUGAAUUGAAUGACAACAUGAUUAAAGGUCUAAUAAGUUUGCUAAGUGUUGAACAGGAUAUUGAGUCUAUUGCACAUACUUGUGGGUUGUGUAUUAACAAGUAUGUUCAAGGCUCAACAAGCAGGCAAACUUGAUGAUAUGCCACAUAGUGUUGAAAUGAAGACCAAGUUGUGUAUUGUUGUAUUAGAGGAUUAUGGAAACAAUCUAGGUCAAGCAAAAGAUAGCAAUGCAAAUAAAAUCUAUGGAAUGGCUUAUAUGUUGUGGAUAUCAUAACAUCAUGAGAAAGCAAGCGUAUUUGACAAAUGGCAAAAGAGACAUGAGUUGAUGUUCUUGGAUUGGUCUUUACAAUGGCUUGCUUUUCAUGAACAAGAAGAGCUUGAUAGUGAACUAGGUUUGAUCAAGCUAGAACUAUGAAGAUAAAGAUUGAAGUGAGUAUUGAGUGUCAAGCCAAAGUAGAGAGGAUAUAAGGAACCGUGAAUUGGCUUGACCAUAUUGAUGCUAAUCUAUAUAUGUCUCUAUGCGAGUCAAACUGAAGCUUGAUUGAUCUAAAUAUUUAUAUCUAGAAGAUAUUCAAGCAAGGAUCAUGAUAUUGAAGAAAUGGUUAUUCAAUGGAUGCUUAAUGUGAUAUGACUUGAGUAUGGCUUGGUAAGGUGAAGAUAGCAAGGAAAGGGCUUCGAGGGACUAAGCGGAGGUGAAGGGAUAAGCGACGGCUUAAGGACCGAGGUACCAUGGCUAAGGUGAAGAAGAGAGUACUUGCAUUGAGUCGAGGAACUAAUCAAGCUAUGAGGAGUCAUAUUGUGUUGAGAAUCAAAUCAUUAGUAAAAGUGACUUGAAGCCAUGAAGGUGAACUCAUAUGUGUUGAAAUGGGUCAAGUCACAUGCUCAAGGUGUCUUUGCUCAAGAAAAGGAGACAAAGUUGAUUGCAACCCUUUAUGGAGUAAUAUUGAGAAUAAAUGGCAUAUGAAGACAUUGAAGACUCAAGUGAUCAAAUUAGUUAUAUUCUUUUGUUCUUGAGUAUAGGUAUGCCGUACUAUCAAGGGGGAUGCAAUACGAAUGAUAGACAAGUCUCAAGUGCUCAAACUAACCGAACCCAAGUGCUAACAUGAGAGAAAACACUUAGCACUGCACCUGCACAAGUUGAUCUUAGAGCUUGUUCUCUGCAGGGUUGGAUAGCCCUUGAAACAAGCUUUCCGAAAGUCCAAGAUCACUGCAAACGGAGUUCGGAGUAAAAAGUUAUGGCUUUUUCCGUAAGGUGACCUGUGCUGUUUUUACAAGGGCGGCAGUGCCACACUUGAUGGACGGCAGUGCCGCCCUUGUACAGUCACAACGGCUAGUUUUCGAAUCCUAACAGCUAGUUUGAGUGGGAUGAGUAUAUAUACCCAUCCCACUGCUUUUGGUCGUGCUGCUGAUGCUCUAGACCUUCCUAACCUUUGCAAAGCCUCUCCCCAACCCUCUCUUUGUGAGAGUAUUGUGCUUAAUCCACAAUUAAGUGUUGGGGCUGUGUGAUUAAGUGUUAGAGAGCAGAUUAGAGCAAUCCUAACCUUGAGCACUUGCUGGGCUUCGUCGAUCUUCGUUGUGCAUUUGUUACUCUUGGAGGUGAAGCCUCCUAGACGGCUAGGCGUCGCCCGGCGAGCUCCCGUGCUUGUGGUGAGCAGCGGGAACAGUUUGUAAUCAUCUCUUGCAGCUAGUGAAAUCACCCCUCCUUCAAGAGGUAACACUCUUGUUUGGAGAACGAGGGAAGGGCAAGCCAUUGGUGGCAAGCCGGUCCUUGUGUGUCCACCUCAACAACGUGGACUUAGGCCAGCCUUAGUGGCGACGCCGAACCACGGGAUAAAUAUUGUGUGCUGAUUUAUAUUCUUGCAAUAUUGUUGUUGAGGUGAUUGUAGGGUUUGUGGCCGAUUUACUUGGUGGUACUUGUGCUGCUGCUUAUAUCUGUUAUUCAGUGACUAACAUACUUGCAGGAAGCUAGGAAAUUUAUUUGAUCUAAAUUUCCUUGGUUGAAUUUUGAAUUAUACUAAGUUCCUCCUGCGCAGGGCGUCAGCGCCGCCCUCUAAGGCCAGCAGUGCCGCCCUCUAAUCUGAUAGAGUUUUGAGUUGAAACUUUGCAGAUUUGUCACUGGAUAUCUCAAGUACAUCUUCACCAAGUUUGGGCUCUGUUGGACUCACGGUUGCAGGAAGGUAGUGCCGCCCUCAAAGGGAGGCAGUGCCGCCCUGAGUUUAAGUUUUUGUUUGAGCAGAAUUUUUGCAGGCUUAUUCACCCCCCCUCUAGGCCUCCUCGGCGACAUCAAGGUCCUUUCAAUUGGUAUCGGAGCUAGGCUCUCAAUUUCGGGCUUAACCGCCUUGAGAGACGAUGUCGACAAGUGAGGAGGUAUCUCUAGAACUUUUACUUUUAGAUGGAUCAAAUUAUACAUCUUGGUCUGCUUGUAUGCUUGAUAUUUUUAGGGCCAUGGGUCCUCAAAUAGAGCAGAUUAUAGAUGUAAGUAUUUCACCUCCUAGUGAUAAUUUGGACUAUCUAUCUAGAGAGGAAGUGAAAUGCUUACAAUACAAUGCUCAAGCUACUAAUGUCUUAUUUAGUGCCUUGAGUGAAGAUGUUCUUGAUGCUAUCAUAUUUGGAGAGGGUGAACCACUUGAUGAUGCUCAUAUCAUUUGGACCACGCUCAAAGAAAAAUAUGGCAGCUCCAAAUGUGAUGGAAAGUUGCUCUCAUUGGAGGAACCGCUUGAGGAGUGCUCAACUUCACCGAUAAAUAAUGAUUCUCCCAAAAGACUUAAUGGAUCAUACCACAUCCACUUCCUCGCCAACACAUGACUUAAUUGAUGGUAAUGAAAUGGUUGGUGAGAACAAUGCUUUUACAUGUGGUACUUCUACUUCCUCUAGUUUUUGUUGUUCUAACAUUUUGAAGGAAGGAGAAGCUUGUGAUCGAUGGAGGCCAAAUGAUGAAUCCACCUCACCUACUAGCUCAACUCUCCAUGCCACUUCUCCUAUGUGUCUCAUGGCAAAAGGUGAGAAGGUGAAAUCAAAAGCCAAACCUCCUUCACCUCCUAGUGACAUCUCUAGUAGUGAUAUUAGUGAUAGCUCUAGUGAUGAUGAAUCUAGUGAUAAAGAGAUUGAUGACAUAAUUAAAAAUUUGGAUCCUAAGACCAAACUCUUCAUCUCUAAACUAAUGGAGGAUUUAGAGGGCAUUCAAGCUGAACUAGCAACUAGAGAUGAUGAUCUUAUUGCACAAGAAAAUAUUUAUAUUGCUAGUAAGGAAGCUCUUGCAUUAGAGAGAAGUGAGGUGGCCUCCUUGCACAAGGUUUUGGCUAAAGAGCAAGAUGACCAUGCUCUCACAAAGAAGACAAAUGCUGCACUCAACCAAAAGUAUUGUGACUUAGAUGAAAAGCACAAAGAGCUUGAGCUGCAAUAUAGUCUUCUUUGGGAGAGCACCUCAAAUCCCUCUAAGGCAAAGGAUGCCUAUACUCCCUCCACUAGCCAAGGUUGUGGAAAAUGCUUUAAUCUUGAUUUGAAUAUUUAUGCCACUAACCUUGCCAAUAUGGAAGUCAUGAGAAAGGAGAUUGCUAGGCUCAAUGAAAUCAUAGCAGUAGGGUGCAUGAAUGACAAAACUCAAUAUGCUGGCAAGAAAAUUAUGAAUGGCUUUGAAUGUGUGCAGUUUGAGAGGAGAGAGCAGUUUGGUAUAGUUCAGCCUGCACAGACCGCGGCAGUGCCGCACCCCAAGGGCGGCAGUGCCACGCCCCGCAAAAAUGGGAAGGCUACCAAUUUGUCUCCUAAUCAAACUAAGCUCAUAAUGAAAAAGUCAAGACAGAACAAUAAAGCUCCCAAAGCCAUCAAGGUGCAGCAUCAACCAAAGAAGACUCUCAUCGCUUGCUUCAAGUGCAAGAAAGAGGGUCACCAUGUGAAAGAUUGCACCUUAAAGAAAGAAGAGAAGAGCAUGAGCAAGAUUCAAGAGAAGGGACAUGAAAUUGACUCAUGUCCCAACAAGAAAAGUAAAGGUUUGUCAUCAUCAACAAAGAGGUUCUUCAGCAAGGUAGCAAGCAAAAUGCAAGAAAAGAAGGCUAACAAAAACAAGAGCCGCCUAUGCUACACUUGUAGAGAAAAGGGACACCUAAGCAUGGAUUGUCCCAUGGGUAACACUCCUAAGCUCAACUCAUCAAUUAAUUCAAAUAUGCUUAGGAGACCUAAAAAUGACACUUGUGCUAGAAAGGUGAUUGGUUCACCAAGUGGUAGCACAAAGGCCAUUUGGGUACCUAAGUCUCUUGUGACUAACCAUGAUGGACCCAACAUAGUUUGGGUACCAAAUUGUGCAUGAUGAGUGUUGUAGGUACUUGAAGGUGAUAUGAAGCUUCGGGGUGCUUAAGCAAAUUAACUGAAAAUAUUCACUCAAGCUAUCAACCAAUUCAUAUUGUUUCUUCUUAUAUGGUUGACCCGAAGAUAAAUUAAUGGAAUUAUCUCAAACUUCAUAUUCAUCUUGGUAACUAGUACCUAACCCUUGCUAGCUAGCCAUUUGACUUGUGUAGUCUCUAGAAGUUCACAAAUAUAUGUGUGUUUGUGAAUUAUAAAGAGUGGCUAGAGUACCUUAAGCUUAAAUGAAUCAUUUAUCAUAUGAUGCUUUUAAUGGCUCUCUAGUAGAGCAAGAUCUUGUUCAUGUUGUAGGUAAUGAGGAAUCACCUUAUGAGGUAAUCAAGAAAAUAGCCACUGAUGAUAUGAGACCAAAGAAGUUCAAGUAAUAGUGAUAAGGAUAUACUCAAGCUACUGCUGCAUCAAUUCCGCUGACACCUCUGAUGCGGUAGUGCCGCCCCUCAGAGCGGCAGUGCCGCCCCUAUAUAGAUAGCAGCAGCUGACAUCAGUCCAAAACAUGGAUGAAGCCUACAACAUGAUGAUGAGCAAAGUGAAAAUGAUGAGACCACCUCAUCCAUUAUAUCUCAAGAAGGGUGGUAACAACAAUAUCUCAAGUGCAAUUAUUUUAAAACUAAACUCCUUUGUGUCUUGUGUAGUCACUUAGGAUAAAUGAAGCACUUGGAGAUAUUCAUUUGUUGCUGGUCAUGAAAGAAAAGUAUGAUUGGAUUUGAAUAGAUCAUCCACACCAAGCAACAUAGAUGACUUUAAGGAGUUUCCUCUGUGGACCUCAAACCAAGAAUUUCAAGAAGGCUCAAGUAGAGGCACUUAUUAUUUACAAUUCAAGAACUCUCUACUUGAUGGAAUCUAGUCAUAUGGUAGAUUGCCAAAAUUCUCAUUUUCAUCUUAAGGGCAUCUACAUGCUGCAAUGGUUUGUAAGUAUCUCUUGACAUAUUUCAAUUUGAUUACGCUAUUAUUGCCAUGACCUAGACAUAGAGUGAAAAUCCCAAGUUCUUGAAUGAAUAAAAGUGUUAUAUGAGAAAUUCAAAUGCUUAGAGCACUUAUCAAAAGGGAAUUUACUCUAUGACUAGAGUUGUGAGACUAACCAUUUCUCUAAGUGAUUUAUGUAGUCUCACUAAAUGAGAAUGUGUUUCUCAAAUGGAGUGUGCUGUUAUAUGAAGAUCAUUAUUCCAAAACCAUGUGAUGUAUUCUCUCUAGCUAUUUUGGAAUUGAUUCAUCUAUGAUCAGCCACUCACCAUAAUAUGGCUUAAAUCUGCCCUUUGGACUUAAUUGACCAACUAUGCACAUUCACACCACUCAAAGAGUGUGCAUGAGACAUCAAGGGAGAUUUAGUCCAUACUGUGAGGUUUCUCUAUUUAGUGACCCACUUGCCAUCCACAUAUAAAGGCUAACUAAGUGAGAAACUAGUGCUUGUGUUUCUAAUACCCUAUUGAGCUUGAACUUGUAUAGAAAAUCAAUAAGAGGAUGUGCUUGGGUUAAUUGAACAAUUCACAAGCUUGAAGGUUACUCUUCACCUAAAGUAAGAUAUUGCUGCUAGAGGUCAUAUUGAUCAAAAAUCUGAAUUUGAAUGAAAUCAAGUUUGAGGUUGAAUUGGAUGAGCUAUAUUAGAAGAAUUCACAAGAUGACAAGUAGAAUUCUGUCAGCUUCAGCAUUGCAGAUUCAGACCAUAGCAGUUUUGGUAGAAAAUUAUUUUGACUGAUCCAAUGGAGUCCAAAUGAGAUGAAAUUUAUACAUAAGUUAGAGGACUCAUAGAUGAAGACCUCUACCAAAUUUCAUGCAUAUUGGGCUAGUGGUAUGAGAGAUAUGAAUUUUUCUCUGAGGAUGACAGAAUCUGAAAACUAGCAGUUUGGAAUUGGAUUGCAGUGUAACAACAAGUUUCAGUUGGCUCUCAAGUUGGUCAUGAAAGAUUUAUUAAAAAUGAGCAGCCUCAGUUUGGAUAAAGGAGUUUUAUUGGAAGAAAAGAACUCAUACAAGGAUCCAAACAAGUUGCAAUCAGAUUACAAGCAGUAGCAAAUAAUUGCAAUUAGUUGUUAGAAGAAUUCAAAUGCAGUCUUUCAGAAACAACAGCUAAGAUCAGUUGAAACUUGAUGAAACCAGUUGGCUUCAGCAGUGACAAGUAGCAAAAAUGAGUUACAAUCAGAUGGUACUAGCUGAAAUCAAUUGGAAGCAACUGAAACUAGCUGAAACUAAUUGGAUUACAGCAACUUGAAGGAGUUUGAAACCAGUUGGAAUGCAGUGUAAACUUCUCCCUUGACCUCAUGGUAUUGAUAUGCGUGAGUGUACUCUGUGUACUCUUGUAUGCACAUAUUAAGGGGGAGUUUAGACUAUAUAUUGUGAGACUAUUGGUUUCUUUCAAGUGUAUGUUGUGCAGUCCCACACAAUGGAAAAAGUAAGAUGGAUAAUUCCAAUGGAUUCUCUUAGUGCUUCACAAUUAUUCUAGGAUCUUGGUUUUUAUAAACCAGGUGCUGCCAGUUUAAUGUCGAAUGCCCCAAUCCUUAGUGGAACUGAAUUUGAAUGAGUUGGAGAAAAUAACUGAAGAAUGAGCUUUCAUGGCUAUUUCUCCUCUCUAGAGCUCUCAAGUUUUCACGACUCAUCUCAUUGAUUACCCAGGAUCUUGUCAACAAAGAGUGGUAACUCCUAGUUCAUAAUUUGCAAAUUUCAUGAAUUUUACCUUUUGCUCUCUAUGUGGGUUGCCUUAGGUAAAGAAAGAACUAGGAACAUAAUUUGUAUCUUGGAUGAUCAUAAGAGCUCUAAUCCACCACAUGUCAUCAAUUGAGAAAUAUAUGUCCAUCCAAAUCAUUGGAGUCUCACUUAUGAUGGUCAUAUCAAUGAAAAUCUAUGUGGUAAUCUAUCUACCUUUGUGGUGGUAUGUUCCCUUGGGAUAAUUUGAAUUAUUGCAAAUUUAUGAUGCCUUGACCAAGAUAUAGGAUGAACUCCUCUUGACUCUUAAACCGACUCAAAUGCACUUUAUAAGUAAUUCAAGUACUUGCUGCAUAUAUUAAGGGGGAGUCUAUUCUAUGUCUUGUGUCUUUGAGACUAACCUUUUCUUCAAGUGAAUUUGUGUAGUCUCUUGGUGAGAAUGAGUUUCUCAUGGGUAUGCUACAUUAACUCAAUCCAAAUGGGUAAAGGUAUCUCUCAUAUUUACAUGGAUUGCAAUUUUACCACUUAAGUAGCUACUCUCCAUAAUAUAGCUUAAAUUCCCUUAUUUGGACUUAAUUGACCAAAAGUGCAUAUGUUCUUGCCUUCCACACAUAUAUGUAUGCAGUAUCAAAAAGGGGGAAUUUAGUCUAUGUUAUGAGGUUUUGCAAUUAGUGACUUACAUGCCUUCCACAUCCAAAAGGUCACUAGUUGUGAAACUCUAGCUUGUGCAAUUUGAUGUUAUCUCUUGUCUUGUGAGCAUUACCUAGGUGACAAUAUGAGAUACAAGCAUCCCAUCCAAUUGGCAUCAGCUUUUGAAGAUUCCUUCAAUUGGUGUCAAAAUUGAGAAGAUCAUAUUUCAAUUGGUAUUGGUGGAUAAUCUUUUAACCUGUCAUAUCAAGAAAUAUGUCUUCAAUUGGUAUCUCAAAAUGACAACAAGAGCUGGCAAUGGACUUUCCACUGAAAUCAAGCACAAGUUUAUGAUAUCUCCUUCAAGAUGAUGAUCAAGAGAGAUGGGCACAAAUGAAGUCUUUUUGCAUUUUGCCAACCCCAUCAAAGCACCAAAUUCAUAAUAUCAUGAUCACAGUGGAGAUUAUGAGGUUUAGAACAUAGUUGUAUCGCUCCAUGAACUCUUGUAUUACCUUUAUGCAUCUAGGCCCUUACAUGCUAGUGUGUGCAUGUGUAUGCAAUAUUUGAGCCACACCAUGAGUUUGUUCUUAUGGUGACGAUUAGAGAAUAACUUAGAUAUUUGGUUGAUACCUCUUGUGGUGAUAAAGUGAGUUUGUCUCAUGUUAGAACUAUCAUCUAAGUGAGGUAUGAGCUAAAUAUACUAACUUCUCAAGAAUCUUGACUUAAGGUGUUGCAUACUUGGUUUGGUAGAAAACUUAGGAGAGAAAUCCUAUAUGCUAAACUUUUACCUACCUCUUGCCCUCAUUUGUCUACCAUUAUUUCUUCCUUUCGGUUGAGAGAUCCUUUUUGGAGAUUAAUGCCAAAGGGGGAGAUAUAUUGGGAGAGAGUGUAAGGGAGGAGAGAUUGAUAUGAGGAGAGAUUAAUAUGUGGAUUGAAAGGGGUAAAGGAGAGGCAUAUAAGAUUUUUCAAAUUGUGUGGUGUGUGCAAGGAUAGUUUAUGCUCUUGAUAAGGACUAUUUAUGUUAGUGUGAAAUGUUCAUGCCUUGACUGGUGGUUGCCUUUACUUCUGGGCUGUUCUGGCAAGUGCGGCAAUGCCGCCCUCUUGGUGCGACAGUGCCGCCCUCUGCUGGCCAGCAAACUUUGAGUGCAUGACUUGCCCUGAGCACCACGGUUAUCAUGUUGACACCUUGCACCCCACGGAUGCUAAGAUAUAGAAGAGUUCCCACACAUCAUCUUGAAUAUGUGCAUUUGGCAUUUGAGGCCAAAACUUGAAAUUCUAUUCUAUGCACAUAUUUAAGGGGAGCUCACUAUAUCAUGGGAUUCAAAAUCUUAAUAUUUAUCAAUCUCUUGUAAGCUUUCAUUGUGUUGUCAUCAAUCACCAAAAAGGGGGAGAUUGAAAGUGCAUCUAGCUCUUUGUGGGUUUUGGUGAAUUGAAUGACAACAUGAUUAAAGGUCUAAUAUGUUUGCUAAGUGUUGAACAGGAUAUUGAGUCUAUUGCACAUACUUGUGGGUUGUGUAUUAACAAGUAUGUUCAAGGCUCAACAAGCAGGCAAACUUGAUGAUAUACCACAUAGUGUUGAAAUGAAGGCCAAGUUGUGUAUUGUUGUAUUAGAGGAUUAUGGAAACAAUCUAGGUCAAGCAAAAGACAACAAUGCAAAUAAAAUCUAUGGAAUGGCUUAUAUGUUGUGGAUAUCAUAACAUCAUGAGAAAGCAAGCAUAUUUGACAAAUGGCAAAAGAGACAUGAGUUGAUGUUCUUGGAUUGGUCUUUACAAUGGCUUGCUUUUCAUGAACAAAAAGAGCUUGAUAGUGAACUAGGUUUGAUCAAGCUAGAAGUAUGAAGAUAAAGAUUGAAGUGAGUAUUGAGUGUCAAGCCAAAGUAGAGAGGAUAUAAGGAACCGUGAAUUGGCUUGACCAUAUUGAUGCUAAUCUAUAUAUGUCUCUAUGUGAGUCAAACUGAAACUUGAUUGAUCUAAAUAUUUAUAUCUAGAAGAUAUUCAAGCAAGGAUCAUGAUAUUGAAGAAAUGGUUAUUCAAUGGAUGCUUAAUGUGAUAUGACUUGAGUAUGGCUUGGUAAGGUGAAGAUAGCAAGGAAAGGGCUUCGAGGGACUAAGCGGAGGUGAAGGGAUAAGCGACGGCUUAAGGACCGAGGUACCAUGGCUAAGGUGAAGAAGAGAGUACUUGCAUUGAGUCGAGGAACUAAUCAAGCUAUGAGGAGUCAUAUUGUGUUGAGAAUCAAAUCAUUAGUAAAAGUGACUUGAAGCCAUGAAGGUGAACUCAUAUGUGUUGAAAUGGGUCAAGUCACAUGCUCAAGGUGUCUUUGCUCAAGAAAAGGAGACAAAGUUGAUUGCAACCCUUUAUGGAGUAAUAUUGAGAAGAAAUGGCAUAUGAAGACAUUGACUCAAGUGAUCAAAUUAGUUAUAUUCUUUUAUUCUUGAGUAUAGGUAUGCCGUACUAUCAAGGGGGAUGUAAUACGAAUGAUAGACAAGUCUCAAGUGCUCAAACUAACCGAACCCAAGUACUAACAUGAGAGAAAACACUUAGCACUGCACCUGCACAAGUUGAUCUUAGAGCUUGUUCUCUACUGUAACACCCAAAAAUUUGUUUUCAAUCAAUAGGAACUUAUUUGAUUUAAUUAAGCAUUUUUGAUGAGCAUUUAAUCUAGUAAAUAAAAUAUUUUUUGUCAAAAUUAAAAUUUAACAUAAGAUUAGAAACUUGUUUAUGCAUUCAUGCCGAAGAUCUCAUUUUGUAUUGUUUGCCUCUGGCUUGAAUUUAUUUGCAUUCAAAAUUUUACUUGAAAAAGGUUUAUUUUAGAAAAGAAAACCGAAAAGAAAAUAAAAAAAAGGAACAGGAAAAACCCCAGCCGAACCCCCCUCACCCCGCACGCACAGCCAGGCCCGCAGCGUGCCUCUCCUCUCUGCUUGCUGCCCCUGACCGCCGGACCCCACCCGUCAGCCUCCUCUUUUCUUCUUCCCCGGAACGAAAUCAAUCCGGACUCGAUCGAAGGAGAUCCGAUCCCGGUUUCCUCGGGUUUCUCCUUUCCGCGCGUAUCUGAUCCUAUAAAGCUGCUAGCAACAACCCCGCGUGUUGUUUUUUUUAUCUUCGCCGUAAAAACCGUGCCCUAGAACCUCCUGCUGCCCUAGACCAAAAGCCGAGCAAGCCGCGAGCUCCUCCCGUCGUUCUUCGGCCCCAGCAAAGCACCUCCUCGAGUUCGCGGUGAGCUCCUCGUUCCGAUGGUGUUUUUCUUUCGCGAAACGGUGCUCGGAAUCGAGAAUCCCGUCGUCGCCGGCGAGCGGCAAUGGAAGCCACCGCACCGGAGCAGGAGCUGGCCGGCCGCUGGCCGCUGCGCCCCUGAAUGGACUGAGGACCGUCGGAUCCAAGAUCAAGGGCCAGGAUUAGAAGAUACCCUUUCACUGCGAGAAUUCAUAAAGAGUCCCUGGAAAGAUUGGUUAAUUACCGCGCGGUCCCUGGCGCCCUGGAACAGAUUACGUUUCCUUGUGUUGAAAGCGUAUAUUUAUGUUCGGUUAAGGCCAAAUACGUUUUCGGCUAAUUACAAUUUUGCCACUGAUUUUAUAAUGCUUAUAAAAUGGUCAUUUUAACUCCGUUUUUGUCCAUUCAAAUUCCGUUGGAUUCGUAAUUACGAUCUCUACAUGUUAGAAAUAUUAGUUUACUGUUUUGAAACUUUUUAAUUCUGCAGUAGCAUUUAAUUAAUUAUUUCUCUAUAGGAAAUCUUAGAAAAUUCAUAUCUUUCACGUUUUAAUUCCGAUUUUCGUGAACUUUACGUUUGUGUGAUCGUAGCGCUGCAUAGAUUAUUUUCAUAAACUUUUAUCUUUAUUUUACCACUGUUUGGUGUAAUGUUCUAAUUAUCGCUUGUUUACUUUGUGUAUGAUUGUCUACAUUGGAUUGCGUGUUGUUGAUUGGUGAUUGGAUUUAGACGGUGAGCCGUACGUUGGUGAUCAAGACCAAGCUUUCGAAGACCAGCAGGCUCAGGAGAGCUUUGAGCAAGGCAAGUAUAACUUGGGAUCAUCCUUGUUACCUAUUCACUUAAGUACACAUAUAUAUCAUAUGCAUGCUAUCACCUUGUCGACCUUAGCAAAAUCAUAGAUGAUUGUUACCUGUAUUCCUUGCUACCUACUUGAUAUGCAUUUGGUGUAGAUGCGCUAGUGCUUGAUAUAAUCCAUGAUCUUGUAAGAUGAUUAAUAGCUAUGCAAUGAACAUAAAAGAAUGACAAAUAACUGUAUGAGAUCUUGUCUGUACGUGAUCACCCGGGAUAACAGUGCAACCAUGAGGGCUAUAAUGGCUCUGGCUUUAGCUCAGUAUGAAGCCCUUUUCUAGCUUGUUAGCGGUUACCCGAAAGGGCGGAGGGGCUGAACCGUUUUGGGUAUAGUGUGGCCUCUGUCUGUAUGAGUAUAGGCUGCGAGUCAUUGUGCCAUCGGAAGGGGGGCUCUAUAUCUGCGCGCAAAGGAAACCUUGCGGCCCUAACUUGUUAGACGAACUUUUGAAAGACUUCAUAGUGAUCCCUGCCGACCUCCCUAGGAAGGGGGUUAAGAGAUUAGCUACCUCGGGCGAAAGGGUAAAUCAUGACUCAUGGGUAAAGAUGUACAACCUCUGCAGAGUGUAAAACUGGUAUACUAGCCGUGCUCACGGUUAUGAGCGGCCUUGGGGGUUCUUGCUGCGCCGACGAUGAGCUUAUUAAGUUGUUAUGUUCAUUUGAUUAUCGUUUAUGCUAUGGAUUAAUUAUGCUUACACUUGAUCAUGUGGUUAAUGAAUUAUUUAUGCUACCUUGACAUUUGUUAUAUAAUUAUGAACAUGCUAUCCACUAUUAAAAGCUAAAUGCAGUCAAACCAGUGUCAGCUAUUUGAGCCUCAUGAACCCCUGGUUAUACUUGUUGAGUACGAUAUGUGCUCACUCUUGCAAUUUUCCAACACCUCAGGAUAUGAUAAUGAAGAUGACUGGAAUGAGGAUUAUCGUUAUGAGUACUAGGUUUGGAGUCAACCAGUCAACAGUGUUCCUGUGUGGAGCUUCCGUCGAGAGCGUUGUUUACUUCUUGUUAUCAUCUUUGUAUGAGACUAUGUGAUUGAAAAUAUAUUCCGCUGUGUAAUAAACACUGCAAUGGUACAUUUGAGAUUUGUCUACUUAUGUGUGCGACUGUUUCUGGGGCACAUAUGAGUCUUUUAUGCAUCCUAUUUUGUUCUUAAAAUAUGGGUGUGACAUCUACAAGGUUGGAUAGCCCUUGAAACAAGCUUUCCGAAAAGUCCAAGAUCACUGCAAAAAAGUUAUGGCUUUUUCCGUAAGGUGACCUGUGCUGUUUUUACAAGGGCGGCAGUGCCACACUUGAUGGGCGGCAGUGCCGCCCUUGUAUAGUCACAAUAGCUAGUUUUCAAAUCCUAACGGCUAGUUUGAGUGGGAUGAGUAUAUAUACCCAUCCCACCGCUUUUGGUCGUGCUGCUGAUGCUCCAGACCUUCCUAACCUUGCAAAGCCUCUCCCCAACCCUCUCUUUGUGAGAGUAUUGUGCUUAGUCCACAAUUAAGUGUUGGGGCUGUGUGAUUAAGUGUUAGAGAGCAGAUUAGAGCAAUCCUAACCUUGAGCACUUGCUGGGAUUCGUCGAUCUUCGUUGUGCAUUUGUUACUCUUGGAGGUGAAGCCUCCUAGACGGCUAGGCGUCACCCGGCGAGCUCCCGUGCUUGUGGUGAGCAGCGGGAACAGUUUGUAAUCAUCUCUUGCAGCUAGUGAAAUCACCCCUCCUUCAAGAGGUAACACUCUUGUUUGGAGAACGAGGGAAGGGCAAGCCAUUGGUGGCAAGCCGGUCCUUGUGUGGCCGAUCUACUUGGUGGUACUUGUGCUACUGCUUAUAUCUGUUAUUCAGUGACUAACAUACUUGCAGGAAGCUAGGAAAUUUAUUUGAUCUAAAUUUCCUUGGUGGAAUUUUGAAUUAUACUAAGUUCCUCCUGCGUAGGGCGUCAGUGCCGCCCUCUAAUCUGAUAGAGUUUUGAGUUGAAACUUUGCAGAUUUGUCACUGAAUAUCUCAAGUACAUCUUCACCAAGUUUGGGCUCUGUUGGACUCACGGUUGCAGGAAGGUAGUGCCGCCCUCAAAGGGAGGCAGUGCCGCCCUGAGUUUUAGUUUUUGUUUGAGCAGAAUUUUUGCAGGCCUAUUCACCCCCCCUCUAGGCCUCCUCGGCGACAUCAAGGUCCUUUCAGCUUUCAUCCAUCCAACCAAACAGAAAAAUGACUCGUCCAAUCCAACCAACCAAAUAUGCAUCAUGGAUAUUCUUAUUCUAAUAUCCAUGGAUUGUCAUAUUCCAUCCAACUUCAUCCUCAAACCAAACACACCCUUAGUUACCGGAUAACUUUUUAGAUGACAUCAUGUUUAAAAGAAAUCUCAAUAUUUCCUACCGAAGAAAGAGGGGGGAGGGGAGAGAGGAUUGAGGACUCAUAAUACCUUAUAUGUUGGUACAAAAUUUGAACCCUAGAUCCCUUAUAUUUUAGGACAAAGGGAGCAAUCGAUACUAUGAAACACCAACACUUCAUCUCCCUCAUCAUGAAGCUCUUAUGCUCACCAUCUCCUCACACACCACUCUCCUCCCUCCUGGCCUUCCUUCAACCCCUUUAUGAUGAGCUUGUCCGUGUGGAUCAUGGGUGUGCAUGCCUACACUGGGCAAAGUGCCUCAUCAAGGAAACAACAUAACGACGUCUGCAUAGGCAUGAUGUUGUAGCGUGGUAGUGCGAGUGUACCGCAUGAUGUGGUGGCACGGGUCCUCGCAUGGCAAUAUGGGUAUGGCAUCACGCUAGCGACACAACGCAGACAGUUGCGGGGUGGGUGGGGCGAGUGUGAUGCAGCAUUGAGCAACUUUGUAGGUUAGACAUGCAUGUAUCAGGGUGGGGCGAGGGGGGCUGCUAGAGUUAGAUUGGACGGACGAUGCUUUCCCACCCAAUUAAUUUCCGCCUAAACAGAGCAGGCGCACGUGAACAAAGUCUGCAGGACCGGUAUCAGAACUAGCACACGCGCACAGAUACCCACCCCAUCCAUAUAUUCUUCACUAGGUAGCGUGCCCGUGCGUUGCUACGGGACAACCUAAUUUUUAUAUUAAAAAUACACGGAUCACACAAUAAGAUAACAAUAUUGUGAAAUUAAAUAUUAACUUUAAAGUGCAUUCAAAAAAAUAAAGUUCGUGAAAUUAACAUUCAUGAAGAGUGCGGCAUCACAAGCUCACCAACUCUAUUGUAUAGAUCUUUCUACACAAUGCAACGUGAAAACAAUACAAUGACCUUUCCCAAUGGGAAACAAUUAAGACAAUGACACUUUAAAUAUACAUUUGUUGUAUCAUUACAAACAUUUAGUUUGUAGCCAAACAUCGCUUUUACACAAGUUUCAAAUCAAAACAUUAACACCGAAAACACAUAGUUCAAAUUUCUUAAAUCGCCAGUAGUUCUUGUCACUAUAUAUUAAUAGCUCAAUCAUGAAAAACCACCAAAGGUAUCUAAAUUGUUAUUGAUCAAGAAGUUCAAUAGACCAAUGAUAAAAAAAAUAAUCAUUUGCUACAACAUUCAUAUUAUAAUAAUCCAACAAUUAGCAUGCCAGGCAUCUGACACCGGCAAUCCCGCAAUCGUUUCUCAUCCCAAAACUCUAUCUUGUUUUCAGCCAUCUAACACCAAUCCCAAAAUUGUCAAAAAAAACACCAAUCUCACAAUUGUAAGUAUCUUGUUUCACCCUUUCAUAAGCCAUAAUAAAACAUGAUCACCCCUAUUAUACAAGACCAUACCUCACCCCAUCCCAACCAUCUCACUUACCUAUGUCACUACCAUGGACACAUGCAUCCUUCAGAUUUAGUGCACAAUCUCAUUAGCAGGUAAAUUCAAUAAUGUAAGAACAAUCAGGUUAGCAAUAUGAUAACUCAAUCAAAUAGACGUUUAACUAUUGCCAGACCUAAAAAGUAACCAAAAAAUGGAGAAGCCAUGAUACUCAUGCACUAUUAUAGGAAUAAACUACUUUUGUAGAAAAAAAAUUAACAUUUUAAAGAACUGAUAUGAGGCUGGCUAGGUUGUUUCAGUCAUCAUUUGAUAUUUUGUGCUAACCAUUUACAAGAUCAGACAAUAACCAAUGACAAUGCACUGACUGUAGUUUUAUGCUUGACAAAGGCGAAUCUGUCGAUGGUGGCUCUAGUCCUCGAGCACUUUGUAGGUAGUAGGAGAAUGAUCUGCUAUGCCAAUGAUGGUUGAGGGAUCCAGCCAACGAAAUCAUAUGCAGCACAGGAAUGACAUGGAACCUUGCAAUAAACAUACACGUCGAUGUAGUGUAGUAACGGCGUCGGUGUUGCACUGGAAGAGAACGCGGGAGGAGGGGUGGGAGGGGAGCAUCACGCAGCCUCCAUAGUCGGGAUGCCGCGCCAGCUCUGCUGCCCUAAAGGUGGACUUGGGGCUUGCAUGGGUCAAAGGUGACAUAGGCGCCCUUAUCAGCGUCUUUCUCUUGUCGAGCACCUUGCUCUCCUCCCCAUCCCCUUCCUCCUUCCUGCACCUCCAAUGUGGCGAAUCCUCCUCGGCAGCACCAAAUAAAAGAUUAAAGAUUUUAUAUAUAUAUAUAUAUAUAUAUAUAUAUAUAUAUAUAUAUAUAAUUAGAGACCAAUCUCCUUUGAAAGAAAGAAUAUAAAAGAUACUAUGGACAAUCAUCGGUUGAGAUUUUGCAAAUAUUAAAAAGUUGAGACCUUAAUACAUGAGACCGAGCAACCAAACCAUAUUGUGAGCAUGAAACAUUUCUCCCACAUUCAUAAUAUUUGCCCCCUCUUGGUCAUCCAAUAGUGAACCAACACCCUCUUGGUCAUCCAAUAGUGAACCAAAAUGUGAAAAUGAUAGCCAAUGUUUUGAGUCUAGAACUUGGAUAGAGUGGUGGGUUAUUUUUUUCUACUCGUCCACAAUGUCCAACAGCAAAAGGGAAAUUAUUUUGCUUAUUUGUGCUCAGUCCACAUGCUGAACCCUUCAUCUAUCAUGCUGGAGCUCUGCCCUCUCCAUUGAUCCUAGUAGCUCAGGCUUAUCAUGAUGUCAUGCACACCAUCGUCCAACCACCUAAGCUCAACAUUAGAUAUAAUGGACUGUGAUUUAACAAAGGAUCUUGUCAUUGUGAUUAGGAGCGCUCCACAAGACAAUACACCCUUUUUGUUUGAAUUUAAUAAUUACAAUGCAUAGGUUUCCAAGAAAUUGUGUGGUUCAUGCAAGCAGUAUUUUUGUCCAAAGGUGUGUAUGCAUUUAUCAUAUUUAACAGAACACACACGGAAGAGCACAAAACAGUUGCAUUAGCUUAGAGCUAUAGUGCAAGGUAAAAUUAGUUGCUAACCGCUAUGCCAGAGCAUAUAUUGCUAUGUCAAAUGAGCAUAAUUACUCAGUUUGGCUUUUGCUUACCAAGAUGGACUUGGUAUGUUAAUUCUGAUUCUUGGUGCUUGUUUUUUCUUGUGCCACAAUGGGUUCUAAAUUGCUAAAUUAGUCACAUAUAUUCCUUAUUUCUAAAUUGCUAACAAGAGUCCAUGGCUUCACGCUCAAGAGAAAACAAGGGGGGCAAAAGAAUCCUUACCUUCCGGCAAACGUCGCUGAAGUCAGCCAGCUCCUGUUCCAUCAAACAGAAUAGAGCGAAACAUGGGUUAAUCACAAACACAUUUAUCUGAGAAUUUCAACAAAUACCUCUCAUGCUUCUUUCCUUUGAGAAUCCCAACUGCAACCAUGUGUCGGUGUAAUGUUAACUGCAUAAAACAUGACUGGCCAAAUCAUCUAAGAAGCACAACUUGAACAAUGGGUUCUAAAUUGCUAAAUUAGUCACAUAUAUUCCUUAUUUCUGAAUUGCUAACAAGAGUCCAUGGCUUCACGCUCAAGAGAAAACAGGGGGGCAAAAGAAUCCUUACCUUCCGGCAAACGUCGCUGAAGUCAGACAGCUCCUGUUCCAUCAAACAGAAUAGAGCGAAACAUGGGUUAAUCACAAACACAUUUUUCUGAGAAUUUCAACAAAUACCUCUCAUGCUUCUUUCCUUUGAGAAUCCCAACUGCAACCAUGUGUCGGUGUAAUGUUAACUGCAUAAAACAUGACUGGCCAAAUCAUCUAAGAAGCUCAACUUGAACAUGGAAGGAUCAAAUGUUAAAUAACAUUACACAGAUCAUGUAUCGAUAUAAAAAAAUCUGACAAAGAUCAUGUAUCACUUGGAGCUUUUUGGAUAUGUAGCAUUACGAGAAGUGGGCUUCGGAGAUAUACCAUCCCGCAACGAGGCUUCGUCAAUGUACCAUUAUGAAACGCGACACAAUCGCUAGAAUGUCAUCGGAUAAUUUUUGGAGCCUUUAAUGCCCCUUUUGCCCCUUGCCUUCUUCUAUUUUCUUUCCCUGCGUGGCUGCUGGAAUGGAACGGAGCCACCAGUUCUUCCGCUCCAGAACGGAUCGAGCAGCCAAAAUAAACAGAAACUAAUCAAGUUACCAAAUCACACAAUCACAUAGAAAUUUGUAGCCAUUUGUUCUCACCGUUCAAGUCGGACAAACAUAGAACUGCCGAUCAUAAUUCUUGGGCAUCUUCGCUGUAAGGACCUUGAGAAACCGGCACUUACAGUGCUCGCAAUGAACAAGAGGGAGUCCAUCACUUGAAAUCCUUCGGCUUCUCGGUAUUGAAUACUUGGUGUGCCCUGAGGACAUCGCUGCGGUGCUGUGCUCUAUGGCCGGGAGCACUGGCGUGGAGGCGCUGCUGUCACACCAUGGCGAGCUAGGGCCGGCCAUGGCGGGCAAGCGGGCCGCGCGGGCGAGGGUAGGUGUGCGGAGCGCGCAGCGUGGGGGAGUACACAGGGGAGCUAGCCGUGGGGGCUCAGGGGAGCUCGGCGUCGGAGAGGAAGACCGAGCGCACAAUCGAUCCGUUUUGCCGCUGGUCUCACUUGUGUCCAGAGGGCGUCACUCAUCGUCAUGGCUGCCUAAGGAAACUUGCGUGCUCUUAGAAUAAUGGAGAAGACGUCUCAUGCCAAAUCAGAGCUCUAGGGGAUCUAGAAUGGGAGCAUUGGUACCUUGGUCCGCAGCCAUGGAGGAGGCCGCCGGCGAAGUCGUCCACAUCGUGCGUGUAUCCCUCCCUGAAAGCCCUAGUUUGGUUUUGGAUAAUUGAUGAAACCCUAGUACUAACCUCUAGGCUAAGUAUGUGUAGACUUAAUGAGGUUGGUACAUGCCACGUGAUGGAGCAAGUGAUGAUUAUGGUGAUGACCACAAGAUGAUCAAGUGCUCAACUUGGAAAAGAAGAAAGAGAAAAACAAAACCCUAUGGAGAUCAAGGCAAAGGUAUUGCUUAGGGUUUUGGUUUUGGUGAUCAAGACACCAUAGAGGGUGUGAUCACAUUUAGAAUAAGAUAACCGUACUAUAAAGAGGGGAAUUCUUUGGCUAAGCGGUUAUCAAGUGCCACUAGGUGUCAUUGUCCAUGUGCAUGCAUUUAGAACCUAGUGAGCUAACUUAACUCCUUCGAAGAAAAUGAUUGUGAAAAUGCUAACACACGUGCACUUGUUGGUACACACGUUGUGGUGUUGGCACACUUUGAGAAGGAGGUGGAGUUUGAAGGGUAGAGAGAGGAUGGUUCCUCUCUCCCUCAUGCCGAGCUUGCGAGGUGGGAUUCGAGAAAAUGAAGUGCAUAUUCUCUAUUGCGCCGGUGGGAAAAUUGGAGAAGUCGCGGGAGUGUUUCUCGCUGAGGAACACUCACCGGACGCUGACUCAGAAGCACCGGACGCUGUUCCUGUGCGUCCGGUGAGUAGGCAGCCUGACUCGGUUAGGGUUAGGCACCGGACGAUAGGCACCGGACGCAGCUUGGAGCGUCCGGUGGUGCGCGUCCGGUGUGCGGGCGUUUUGCGACCCUCUCUGCGCAUGGGUCCGGUGAACACCGGACGCUACCGGUGCUUAGCGUCCGGUGACCUGCCGGUUUGCGGAACUCUCUGCGCAAGAGUCCGGUGUGCACCGGACGCGUCCGGUGCACUGCAGGUGACCGUUAGACUCUGACACGAGCGUUUUGAAAGGUGACGCGUGGCUGACUUAGGAGCACCGGACGCUGGUGUUGAGCGUCCGGUGCCCCUUUAAGAGCGUCCGGUGACCCCGUGUUUUGCCCAGUGAUAGAGCCAACGGCUCUAUUUGUUUGAGGGGCUAUAUAUACGUGUUUGGCCGGCUUGGGGCUCACUCUCUUGGCAUUCUUGACUACUAGACUUCCUUGUGAGCCUAAGCAAACACCUCCCACUCAUCUCCUUCAUAGAUUAAACAUCUUUGUGAGAUUGGGAGUGAUUCCAAGUGCAUUUGCUUGAGUGAUUGCAUCUAGUGGCACUUGGGGAUCGUUCUAGCUGCGGUUUUCUUGUUACUCUUGGUGGUUGCCGCCACCUAGACGGCUUGGAGCAGCGGAGGAGGAUUGGCACGAGUUGGUGAUUGUUCGUGGCCAUCUCCCAAUGAUUGUGAGAGGUUUGUGCCUACCUCGGCGGAGAGCCAAAGGCAACAUUAGUGGAUUGCUCGUGUCAUUGAGUUACCUCACUUGUGGGUAGGUUCUUGUGGUGUCCUAGUGAGGACGAGGUUCGUGCUACACCUCUUAGCCACCGAACCACCAAGUGUUGGUCGACACAACGGGGACGUAGCGUGCUGGCAAGCAUGUGAACCUCGGGAGAAAAUUGUUUGUCUCCAUUGUGAUUAUUCAUUGGAUUUCUCCCAGUGAUUGGACUUCAUAUUAUUGAUUGGUUCAUCCCCUCUACGCGGCGGUAUAAAGAUCAAACUAUCUCUUUUUACAUUCCUGUAAACUAGAGUAGCUUACUUACUUGUAUAGAAACUUUAGGAAGCUUUCUAGUGUAAGUAGUGACAUAGCUCUUGUGUGCCUAGUGAUCAUAUCAACUAGAAUUGUUGGAUAGGUGGCUUGCAAACACCCCUUUAAAGCUAGAGCAAAAAGCUUCGCUUUGUUAUUUACUAACCCUUUGCUCUAGUGAGUUUGUAGAUUUUUAAAUAGGCUAUUCACCCCCCUCUAGCCAUAUUAGGACCUUUCAAGUGGUAUCAGAGUCGUGGUCACCGUUUGUGAAGGCUUAACAACCUCGGUGCUCAAAUUAUGGCUCAAAUAGUGUUCAACCAUGUUGGGAGCAAACCACCAUUCUUUGAUGGCACAAGUUCCUUUGACUAUUGGAAGAGAAAAAUGAAGAUGUACCUUGGAUCAAUCAAUGAUAGAGUGUGGGAAGUCACGGAAAAUGACUUUGUGAUUCUUGAUCCGGCUAACCCCACCGACAAUGAGAGAGCAAACAAGCAAUGCAAUACUAUGGCUCUCAACACAAUCUAUAAUGGCAUUGAUUCAAAAGUGUUUGAACAAGUCAAAGAUCUUGAGAAGGCUAGUGAAGUAUGGAAAAGGCUAGAAGAAACAUAUGAGGGCACUACAACGGUAAAAAGUGUCAAGUUGUACAUGCUCAAGGACAAGCUAUCCAACUUCAAGAUGAAGGAUGGUGAGUCUAUACCGGAGAUGUUCUAUAGGCUCCAAGUCAUCAUCAAUGAUCUCAAGGGCCUUGGUGAGAAAGUGAAGGAUGAGGACUUCAUUCACAAGUUCUUGAUGUGCUUGCCCAAGAGGUUCAAGACAUUGAGAACAAUCAUCUUUAGAGGUGGAUUGACCGGUGUAUCUCCCAAUGAGGUACUUGGAGAUGUCAUGACCGAAGAUCAAUAUAAUGACAAUGAUGAUGAUGAGGUCAUGAAGAAGGAUGAAGAUGACAAAAAGAAGAAGAGUGUAGCAUUCAAAGUUAGCUCUUCAUACAAGAGCAAGAACAAGGGCAAGUCCAAGAAAGAAGAAUCAAGUGAUGAGGAGUGCUCCAAUGAUGAUAGUGAUGAUGAAGCAUUAGCACUCUUUGUCCGCAAGUUUGGCAAGAUGAUGAAGAAGAAGGGCUACCAUACAAGAAAGAGAAGGGACAACUCCAAGAACAAGGAAUAUGUGAGGCUAUGCUACAAGUGCAAGAGCCCCGAUCAUAUUGUGACGGAUUGUCCAUAUAAUAGUGAUCAUGAUGAGCAUGAAAAGAUGAACAAGAAGGAGAAGAAAGAAAAGAAAGAGAAGAAGAUGGUCUUCAAGAAGAAGAAGAAGGGUGGAUCCUAUGUUGUGACAUGGGAUAGUGAUGCUUCUUCGGAUGAUGAUUCUAGUGAUGAUGACAAGUCAUCCAAGAAGAAGGCGCUUGCAAGCAUUGCUAUCAACAAGCCAUCACUCUUCGACACUCCUUCAUGCUUCAUGGCCAAGGGCCACAAGGUACAAUAUGAUGAGAGUGAAAGUGAAAAUGAACAUGAUAGUGAUAGUGAUGAUGAAAAUGAAUUCACUAAUGAACAACUCAUGGACAUGCUAGAACAAGCUGAUUCACUUAUUCAAUCUAAAAACAAGAAGUGCAAAGAAUUGGCCAAGAAGUUAAAAGCUCUUGAGCAAUCCUUUGAUGAGCUCAAUGCUAAUCAUGAGAGGCUAGUGGAAGCCCAUGAGAAGCUUGGCAAGGCUCACACCAAGCUUGAAAAAGCUCACUCCUUGUUAUUAGAAGAGAACAAGGAAAAGGUUGUUGUAUCAUGUGAUGUGGGCACAACAUGUGACUUAACUAAAGAAUCACCCAACCCACCUAUUGUUGUUGCCACUAACUCUUCAUGUAGGUCUUCAUCCACCACCACCAACUCUACCUCUACUUCUAGUGUUAGUGUCACUUGUGAUACCUCACUAAAGGUUGAGAAUGAGACUCUCAAGAGAGAGGUGGAUGAGCUCACUCAUGCCCUAGGCAAAGCCUAUGGUGGUGAGGCCCGCUUGCUGAAGUGCUUGGGUAGCCAAAGGUUUUCUCUCAAUAAAGAGUGAUUAGGCUGUACCCCCAAGAAGGGCAAGAAAGCCUUUGCAACUCACAAGCCUAGCUUUGUGAAGAGCAAUGGUCGGUAUUGCAACAAAUGCAAGCAAAUUGGGCACCUAGAGCUUAAUUGCAACAAAAUGAACAAGAACAAGAAAAUUGCUAAUGUACCUUACAUUCCUUUUGAUUCUUGUUAUGUGCUUACCAAGGGUGAGAAGGGUGUGCAUGCUAAGUUUGUUGGUACACCAAUUGUGGGUCCAAAGAAGAAGGCCAUUUGGGUACCAAAGAGCUUAGUCACUAACCUCCAAGGACCCAAGCAAGUGUGGGUACCUAAGAAACAUUGAUUUGUGAGAGGUUUGUGCCUACCUCGGCGGAGAGCCAAAGGCAACAUUAGUGGAUUGCUCGUGUCAUUGAGUUACCUCACUUGUGGGUAGGUUUUUGUGGUGUCCUAGUGAGGACGAGGUUCAUGCUACACCUCUUAGCCACCGAACCAUCAAGUGUUGGUCGACACAACGGGGACGUAGCGUGCUGGCAAGCACGUGAACCUCGGGAGAAAAUUGUUUGUCUCCAUUGUGAUUAUUCAUUGGAUUUCUCCCGGUGAUUGGACUUCAUAUUAUUGAUUGGUUCAUCCCCUCUACGCGGCGGUAUAAAGAUCAAACUAUCUCUUUUUACAUUCCUGUAAACUAGAGUAGCUUACUUACUUGUAUAGAAACUUUAGGAAGCUUUCUAGUGUAAGUAGUGACAUAGCUCUUGUGUGCCUAGUGAUCAUAUCAACUAGAAUUGUUGGAUAGGUGGCUUGCAAACACCCCUUUAAAGCUAGAGCAAAAAGCUUCGCUUUGUUAUUUACUAACCCUUUGCUCUAGUGAGUUUGUAGAUUUUUAAAUAGGCUAUUCACCCUCCCUCUAGCCAUAUUAGGACCUUUCACUCCCAAAUCUCCCUAGUAGGAGAGCACCCGGCCAGCUACCAGUGGGCGGGAUGGGAUCUUGAUGCAAAGCCACUGGCGAGAGCGGACUCGGAUGCGGCCACCGACGAGCUCGUGGUUCUGCUCGCGAACGCGGAGGGGAUUGGGGCAUGAGUGACUAGGGAGGGGAUCACGAGGGAGGAGGGAGGGGAUCGCGAGGGACCAGGGCGCUUGCUGCGGUAUAGGAAGGGAUGAGAUCGGAGGGGAUCACGACGCGAGAGAGCAGGGGGAGGGGAUCGCAGAUUGCGGUUGUUUCCUAGUAUGGGGAUAUGGUCGCAUGCCGCAAGAGGCAGAACGAAAGAAAUGAUGCGCGUCGCAGGGGCAGGACGAAACCGCGAGAGUAGAAUGUCAGCACGAAAAGUUUGUCCACGUUUUGGUCUUUUUAGUUGUAUAUAGGAGACUUUUAUCAACAAAUUCAAAAGUCAUAACUCCUAAACUAAAUAUGUAAAGUAAAAUCCAAUUACAUCAUCGUGUUCCUUAUAAUAAAUCCUUCAAAACAAGAUCCUACAUGAAUAUAUUUAGAUAAAAUUUUACUAACAAACAUUUAUCUUAUAAUGAUAAAACUUUUUUAUUUAGGAGAGAUAAUGUUCUAGGUUCAGAGAAUAAAUAUUCCGUCUUUGUAAGAAAAAUGUUCUCGGUUUCAAAAAAAUAUUGUUCUAGUUUUAGGUUCAUGAAACUAAUAUUAUAACAAAUAAAUAAAUAAAUAAUGUAAAUAAAAAAUACAAUCUAGAGCAAUGCAUAAGGAAAAAAUAAAAAACACGAGAUAAAGAAAAAUUUUAAAAGAACAUCAUAUGGAUACUUUUCAAACAUCCUAAAAAUAUACUAUAAAACAUCAUAUGUAUACUAAACUGAACAUCACUAAAUACACUAUAGAAUACCAAUAAAUACAUUUUAGAACAUCGUAUAUAUAUUGUGUGAACAUCACUAGAUACAUCAUAGAACACCAUAUCUGUGCUAAGUGAACAUCAUUAAAUACAUCAUAGAACAUCACUCAAUACUUUAUAGAAUAUUAUAUAUAUAUAUAUACCAAGUGAACAUCACUUAAUAUAUUAUAAAACAACACAUAUAUAUUAUGUGCUUUCUUUUUUUCAUUUUUGAUCUGUAAAUUGAGUUGUUAGUGAAUACGUUAAAUUCACCGACUCUAUUUCAUUUGCUGAAUAUAUAUGAUAUUUAUUUUCUUUGAAGUAAAAAUUCUAUAACAUCAAUAAAAUACAUCAUAAAAUAUGAUAUGUAUAUUGUGUGAACAUCACAAAAACACAUCAUAGAACAUCACAUGUAUAUUACGCAAAUAUCACAAAAUACAUCAUAAAUUAUUGCAUAUAUAUCACGUGAACAUAAAACAUCACAUGCGUAAAACAUAAACAUAAAAAAAUCACAUGUAUACUACAUAAACAUAAAAACAACACAGAACAUCAUAAAAAUAAUAAGAAAAGUAAAAAAAAAUAAAAAUAAUAAAAAACACAUAAAACAAAGAAAUAAAUUUUAAAAUUGAAUGAUGCACUAAAAGGAAGAAAAGAGAAAAAGUUUAAGAAAUAUAAAAAUCAUGAAAAGAAUAAUGAAAGAUCACUUGAAACAAAAACUAAGGAAAAAAUAAAUUGAAAAAGGAAAUAAAAAAUAAUCAAAAAGAAAGGAAAAGAAAAUAAAAAUAAGUUGAAGCUAUAAAAAAUAAAUAAAAAAAGAAAAGAAAAGAAACAAAGUGAAAAAACAAAAUAAAGAAAAGAAAAAAAUACUAAGAAAACAGAAAAAGAAAAAACAAAAGAAAACUAAACACGCGGGAGGGAAAAGAAAAGGAAAUAAAGUAAGAAAAAAUAAAAUAAAAAAUAAAAUAAAAAAUAUACGUACUUACGUGGGGGAAUCAAAGAGCGUGUUUGGUUCCCUUCCUAGACUAGCCGGUACCCCGGUACAGCCAGCCAGGCCAGAUUUGGCCAGUGCAUGUUGAAAGCCCAAGUUUGGUUUUGGUAAUUAAUGACACCAAGUUGCUAAUGCCUUGUGAUUAAGUGAUUUGAGUUAGGCAUAGCAACACAUGUGAUGAAGGUGCAUGGUGGCAUGGAAAGGUAGCCACAUGAUCACAAAGGGAUGAAACAUGAAGUAAAGAUCAUUGUGAUAGACGAGGAGCGAAGUUAUCAAGGCAAAGGAAUAACAUAGGGUUUUACUUUUGCCGGUCUAAGAUGAGUAGAGAAGUGAUUGACCGGGUUUAGGAUAGAUAGCCGACUAUCAAGAGGAGAAAUCAUGGUCAUCUCUUGAAUCAAGUGCUACUAGGUCUACAUCUUGAGCAUAUGCAUUAGGAUCUAGUAAAGUGCUAACUUAACUCCUUUGAGAAAAUGUUUGUGAAAAGCUAACACACAUGCACUUUGGUGGUGGACACUUGUUGGUGUUAGCACUUUUGCAAAUGAGGUGGAGUUCCUAGGGUUGAGAGGGGUUUGGGUUCCUCUCUCCCUCCCGCCGAGCUUGGGAGGCAGGAUUCGGCGUUUUUGAGAAAAAUAAGUCUGUAUUUUCUAUUGCACCGGUGGAAAAUUUGGAGAAGUCACGGGAGUGUUUUUCGCUGAGAAACACUCACCGGACGCUGAGUGCGGAGGCACCGGACGCUGGCCUCAGAGUCCGGUGUGCUUGACCCUACUAGGGUUGAGCACCGGACGCACUCUGAAAGCGUCCGGUGGUGUGCGUCCGGGGUAAGAAGGUUUUGCAACACUCUCUACGCUUUAGUCCGGUGAGCACCGGACGCUACCGAUGCUUAGCGUCCGGUGACCCUGCAGGUUUGCGGAACUCUCUGCGCAUGAGUCCGGUGUGCACCGGACGCGUCCAGUGUGGACCUGCAGAGCGUCCGGUGGUCCGCAGGUGACCGUUAGAGCCUGACAUGCGAGAUUCAAGAAGGACACGUGGCCAACCCCAGUGCACCGAACGCAGGGGGUCGAGCGCCCGGUGCUCACUUGGUAGCGUCCGGUGCCCCCGAUUUCAGCCCAGUGAAAGUGGCCAACGGCUAGUUUCUUUGAGGGGCUUAUAAAUUGAGGGUGGCCAGCUUUGGGAGGCUAACUCUUGCACAUUUGAUUACUUGUGACAUACAUUGAGCUAGAGAACACUCCCUCCACUCAUCUCCUUGCUUGAUUGCUCAUCCUAGUGAGAUUGAGUGAGAUUCAAGUGCAUUGCUUUGAGAGUUGCAUUUAGUGGCACUUGAUUCUUGAGUUUGCUGCGGAUUUCUUGUUACUCUUGGGUGUUUCCUGACGCCCUAGAUGGCUUGGAGCAGCGGUGGUGUUGAGCUCGUGAUUGGAGAUUGUUUCGAGCCUCACCAAGUGAUUUGUGAGGGGUUCUUGAGCCUUCCCCGCGGGAGAUCGCAAUUGGCUACUCUAGUGGAUUGCUCGUGGCUUGGAGGAUCCCCAUCUUGUGAGUGGAUGUGCGGCACCCGCUGAGGGUUUGGCUUCGGACUGCCAAUUAGCUCGUGAUCCAUCAAGUGGGUGUAUCGCCACAAUGAGGAGUAGCUUGCCGGGAAGCAAGUUAACCUCGGUAAAAAAUCUUGUGUCAUCUCUUGCCGAGGUCUCUCUUGUGUUUGUGUACGUGAUUGAUUGGAUAUAUCUCAUCUCUACAACGUCGGUAUAACAAUCACUCUCCUCUCUUUACAUACUUGCCUACCUUGUUAGUUUAGCUUGUGUAGCUUAGUUCUUGUUAGUAUAGAGUUGUGUUUUAGUGUUUAGCCUUCUUGCUAGACUUGUUUAGGUGGCUUGCAUAGCUUAGUUGUGCUAGUGCUAGAAUAGCUUCACCACUUAUUUUACUAACUCACUUGUUUAAUAAAGUUUGUAGAUUUUUAAAUAGGCUAUUCACCCCCCCUCUAGCCAUUUGGACCUUUCACAUGUAACACCCUAUUGUUUGGUUACCUACAUCAUCAUAGCCAGGCCAGCAGCAGAUGAUGUUUGGUUGCCUGCACUUGCAUCAGAUUUAAAUACUGGUUAUGCAUGAACCAUGUUUGCUUGCCUGCGCCAAACUUGUUUUGAUUACCAAUUUGCACUUGUGGUAUGCUUACCACUAGUUACUUCAUUAGAUUUGCAAUAAUAUAGUUUGCAGUGAAGUGUAGGAAGAAAAAAGUAAAAUGCAGUCAAAAAAUAACCAAAACACAAGUAAAUCAUCAUUGACAAAGAGGCAUGCGCUCAGUUGUAUGAGUCUCAUCAUAGGCAAAGACAUGUGCUUAAUGAUAUGAAAAUACAUAUAGACUUAAUUACAUCCCCAACACCAUGUUCCUCAACAACAACAAAACCGCUAGCCUCAAGUUCAGAGAACACUAGAUCAUCAACUGGCAUAAUCUCUUUCAGUCAUACUGCACUUAAAAUCAUAUGCCACUAUGGUAUAAGACUAGUCAUCACUACACAUGCCAUAUUGCCUAAACCAAAGCACAUGCACAUAUCUAUUGCCUCAGAAUUUGUAUAGUAUCUUAGAAAUAAAAGUAAUCAUCAUAGCACAUGCCUGUUGCCUCAGAGUGUAUAGUAUCUUAGAAAUAAAAGUAAUCAUCAUAGCACAUGCCUGUUCCCUCAGAGUGUAUAGUAUCUUAGAAAUAAAAGUAAUCAUCAUAGCACAAGCACACAGUCCCAGAUCAAGAAAAUCAGAAAAAAUUAGCCUCUGCUUAUCUUCUGGAACAAAGUCAUUGGUGGCUAGAAUCCAAAUUAAAAGAACUAACAACAUAGACAACUUUAAAAAUAACCAGAAAUAUGACACCUAUAAAAUCUACCGAAACAUCCACUAUUUACCAUCACCUUGAGUAUGACCCAAUUGUUGCUAAACAGUGGAUGAUUCCAAUAGAUGUGAUGAAUGACAUGUUAUAAGAGCAUAAACAAUACUAGGAAAACAAUGAUAAACAGUGGAUGAUUCAAUAACACAGAAACGCAACCACCUCAAUGUUUACUUAUAGCUUCAUCAUAGGCUAAAUAGAAAACAAUCACCUAACUUCAUCAUGUGUAGCAUCUCAGGAAAAAAUAAUUCAUCAUACCAUAUAUUCCAAGCCAGACAUGAGUAGCAUCUUAGCUAAAAAAAAUCAUCAUAGCAUACGUCCGAAGCCUCGGCACAUGUGUAGCAUCUCAGCAAAAAAAUCAUCAUAGCAUAUGUCCAAAAUCUUAGAGCAAUUUACUUUAAAAAUGUACAAGUCGUCACAGCAUAUGUCUAGAAUCUCAGACCAUAUAGUCAUAGCCUCACAACAAAUGCUUUCUCCAGAAUAAGAUGACAUACAGUGAAGUAUAGUAGCAGCAAAAUUCCUAGAUAUGAUAAGCCCCCUAUUCUACAGGCACCAGCUAGUCAACCCCAUGAGAAAGGAAUAAAAAUUACCAAAUCAUUAUAGACUAGGACAUAUGCUAAGACCAAAUCAACAACAUCAUAGGCUAUGACAUAUGCUCAGACCAAAUGAACAUCAUCACUGACUUGGACAAUAGCUCAGAAAAAAUCAUCAUUUUACCAAAUAAUCUAAAAAAGCCACACAUUUUUUUAUCGAAGCACACUAGAUUGGCUACUGCAAAUUAUAGAGUAAAGAGAGAGAUGAUAGGGAGGAUUAGCAGGAGCACCAGCACAAGCAGAGAAUCAAGUAACGAAUGGUAUGAUAGAUCUGGAAGCCAACAACUCAAGAACACCCAAGAAUUCAAAUCUGGUGUGCCUGCACAUAGAAUCAAGUACCAAACCAUGAGCUAAGGUUUACAAAUUAAGAAAAAGGAGAGGGACAAGGGGGAGAACUCGCCUGAUUCAAGAGGCAGCACCUGCAAGAUGAACAGAGAGAGGGAAAGCAUGAGCACGCCACCAAUCGAUGAAGAACACCACCACCGAAGAGGGAGAAGAGAAGCACCUACCGGCGGCGGAGACGGCAAGCCACGAUAGCAAGCGGGAGCGAGCGGGAGGAUAUGCAGUGGAUGGCGUGAAAAGGGGAGGUAACCCUAGUGAGUUCGCGCCAUCUCCCACCUGCCGAAAUCGUGCAACGCACGCGCAUGAGAGAGCACGGAGCGGGCUAGGCUCGAAUAAAACGCCUGAUUCGGCCGUUCCUCGGGAGCCUGGCUGAGGGGGAGGUUUUGAACGCGCUCAGCCUUGCUGAGACGAUUGACCAGGCAACCAAACACCUGUACCCUACAUCCCGGGAGCCUGGUUGAGGAGGAUAUAGGUAACCAAACACGCCCAAAACUUGCGUGUGCAUGUGGAUCACGCCUGCUCAUGUCCGCAUGUGGGAAUCGAACAGGAAAGCACUGCGGGGAAUCAUCGGACGAGUGCUCCCGUCCGAAUGUUCGGACAGGAAGAAUUCCGGGGGCGAGGACAACGCGGCGUGGGAGGGGGUUUGACUGGAUUGAUGCAAUAAUACAAGUUUAAGGAGAUAAUCAGAUAAGUGGGCAAUUUGCAUGUGAUGAGAAGUGAAGAUAAAUUUAGAAAGUUGAGUAUGCAAUUUGUAAGUACUGAGACUAGGAUAAAAACUCGUUAUAAGUUUAGGACAAAGUCAAGUGUGUAAUUUGUAAGUUCCAUGACCAAGAUAUAUAAAAAAUCGAGACAAGUUCAAGAACCGUUGAUGAGUUCACCAGCCAAACGUCAGAUGAAGACUCAAGAGUCAAGAGCAAGGCACUUUUUAAACCUCUGCAAUUAAAAGAUUCAUCUCGUGAUUUACAGGUAAACUGUGCAAUUAGUUAUUUUUUUUAACUAUAUUCAAUACUUUAUGCAUGUGCCACAAGACCGAGAUUUCCAAACUACUCUGCCCAGGAUUUUAUGCAUGGAACAAUCAAAUGGUCGCCAGUCCACAAUUGGAAUGUUGAAACUUGCAUUGGACCUUGAUCUGUGCACUACAAGACAGAAGAUGUGAAUAUGUACCCGGAUCUAUCCAUGCUUGCAUGCUCCAGGUUGCGUCAGUGUAAUCCGUCAAAAACGUUUUCUUCAUUCAUCUGGCCGCAAUGUCGUGGAACUUAACAUCAGCUGGCUAGUUCAACGAUCGAUCGAUCGUCCCCAUCGUCUGACGAAGUUCUGAACAAUUACAUAGCCUCUCUCAUGAUGCUAUAAGUAGACACCAUAGUUCUGAGCUCUGGACGCACAACAACCUGUUACUCAGCCAGCUCGAUCGAGCCCUGGGCUAAGCUAAUCAACAACACUCAAGCACCUCAAGAUCCUCUCUCGAUCGAGACUGGUCGAGCUAUCUUUGCUUGCUGCACCUGCACGCACAUCGUCCUGUUCAAGAUGGAGGGAGGAGUGAAAGUAGCAAGAGGUGCGGCUGGAGCGGCCUGGCCGCUGCUCGUGCUGCUCCUCGUCGCAGCAUCGGUGCAUGCCGACGCCAUGGCAGCGCCGGCGCGGCGCCUGCUGGCUGCUGAUGGCGCCACUGUGCAGCCGUUGGCCGAGGCGCCGCCGCCGCCGCAGGUAUCCGUCAGUAAGGCAUCGGCAGAGCCUUCUUGCGGAACGAACGACACACACAUUUCUUGCCCUCCUCCCGCUCAGGCGCCAUAGCGCAAGCUACUCUAGCUACACAUGUAAACACUAUCCCUGUAAUAUUUAGUAAGCUUGAAAUUUUGUUUGGAAGAAUGUGGUUAGCUUGAAGAAUUUUUGGCAUUUUUAGGGCACGAACAAUUUAUUAGCAGUUGAGAAUAAUUUGUUGGUUUGAAUUAUUAUCGAUUAUUUGUAAUAAAAAGGAACCAGCUAUUGAUUUGUUGGUUUAAUCUUUAGGCGUAUGAGAAUAUGAGAUUUUAUUGUGUAUGGACCAGGAUUCGAAAUUUUUAAUGAAAUUUUCAUGAUUUUCGAUUCUACCAGUGACUAAUUAAAUUUGACUCGCAUUCCUUAAACUCGUUCAAACUUCAAACCCUGGUACUUGCAAAUUUCACUAGUAAUCCUUAAACUUGUCUUGAAUUCUCAUCUGAAUUCUGGUACAUGUAAAUUGCACAUUCGACUCCUUAAACUUAUCCUGAGUUUUUAUUCUAGUCUUUGUACUUAAAAAUUGCACGUAUUAAUCCCUAGACUUAUCUCAAGUCUCAUCUUGGUCCCAAUACUUGCAAAAUAGAUGCUUAGAUAACUAAACUUAGGGUGUUUCUACCCCCUACUCUAGAGUGUAAUUGUGAUUGUACUUGUAUUUUUUUAAUUUUGUGAUUUUACCCUCGUGGUGGCUUUUUAGAAUUUGUACCACCAUCCCCGGGUUAAACCCUUUUAUAUAAAGCGAUGAUGAAAGCAUAAGUGGUUGGUGGUAAUGUCGUUCACUUAGUGUAUAAAAUGGAUCUGAGCCGUUUAGACACUCUGGGCACUACGAUCAUGCUUGCUAACCCAUGGAGAUCAAAGAGUAUGAUAUUUAUCCUUCAACCACAAAAUGUGGUUAUGUGAUCCCAUGUCAAGAAGAUUAGGCCACUCUCCAUAUUCUAACUUACAGCACUUGGGAUGAUCCCUGAAGAGAGCGUUGUCUUUAGUUGCAAAAAAAUACUAAGCAUUCUUGUGCUUCCUUCUCUAUUCAUUUUCAUCAUCCCCAACAGGAUGGGGUGAAUUUGACUAAUCUAAAAUUUUCUCAAAAUUAAAACCCUAUCACUUAGCUCAUUUCACCCCUUGUGUCUAAUAGUGUUUCUAGACUACGCACAAGAGUUUUCAAACUAGUUCAAAUGUAAAUGCAUAAUGUAAAGAGAGGAAAAUUAACAUAAUGUUUACCAAGAUAUCGAAGAGACGACACUCUUCACUUGUCCUUGUUGGAGCAACGAUAUAAGGGCAUGGCUCCCCCUUGAUCCAUGCAAGGACCAAGUGCUCUCUACUGGAGUGCGGGCUGAUUCUUCGCCUUUCUAGCAUGAUGAAUCGUCUACAACCGCUCACAACAUGAGUUUGUCUCCCACAAGCUCCACCAAGAGAUCACCAAACUUCUGAUUGCCAUCAAGCCAUCUAGGUGAUGUCGAUCACCAAGAGUAGUAGGCACAAACUCUAACUUGACCUAAACAAGUCUGAUGAGGAAGGUGGAUGCAUACUUGCUACUCUCUAUACACUAAUUGAGUCCAUAAUCUUGUAGUUAGCAAUUCACAAUCACUCCACUAUGCUUGAGGCUUCCCUUGCUCUCCAUAUUGUGCAGCACACUGUUCUGAUUGGCAAGAGAGCUUUCUUGCACAAGAUGAAGGGGUAUCCCCCAACCAACCAACUAGCCGUUGUCCCUCAACUCAUUGAAAAUGGGACCAUUAGAAUGUUCUGAUGCCCCUCCAACGGCUAUGUCAGAACCAGCCAUUACAGACUGGGGUAAUAGCUUAUGCUCCAAUGUCUAGCAUCAAAACAAUCCGAUGCUCCAUAUCGUGUGUAGUAGCUCUUUGUGUUGCAUCAAUGUGGUAGGAUAUACUCCGAUGAGGACAUAACUUAAUAAUCUGAUGCCUCUACCUUCACUGCUCUUUAGCAAACCCUACCUGAAUCCUUUGGUAGCUUAUAUUCUGACGAACCAUUGACCUGACCAUCGGAACAAUUUGAUGCUACAGCCAAACCCUAGCUACCAUCUGCAAGUAACUUAUAAUCUGAUGGUCAGCUUAGGAACACAAUUUAGUGGUACCAUAAACCCUCCAUUCACUUUCUUUUCAACCAACUUUGUGAAUAGGAUUGCUUCCAAUUAACUUUUAGGCUUCCUUUGAGCUACAGUGCUAAGUUUGACAAAUGUUGCACCACACCUAACUCACUAGACUCGACUAGUCCAAGCUACUAAUUCAUACCCCCUUUAUAGUACGUCCAAGAAAAACAAAGUCAUAAACUACUCUAAGUGUCUCCCAACUCUACAUGAAACUUAGAACUAGUCUGUCCUUAACCUUUUUGUUCAUCAUUUGAAAACCGAAAAGAAUUCCAUGGGCAUGAAAACUAUUGAUUUUCCAAUCAUCAAUCAUUAUUGUGAUCUAACUUACAAUGCCUCUGCAAAACAUGUUUUAGUCACAAUAAUUAUGUCAUCAUUAAUCGCCAUCAAUAAUUAGUCCUAGAUGCUUUCAAGCUUAUGCAUUUUCUCAAUGGCAAUCACUAGUUCACUACAGAGGUUAGAAAUGGAAGAUCACUUUGUUUUGGAAAGAUAAAUGGCUGCAUGGUCAGUGUACUAUAUUGCUCAAGUUGCACCUCGAUUGGUUGAUUUGAUGUCUAGAAGAGAUGCAAAUAGAAGGACGGUACUUGACACCUUGGCCGAUGUGAAAUGGGUUACUAAUAUUUGGGGUCUUAUCUGAUGACGUUUGGCUGAAUAUCUUCUGCUCCAGGGCCUCAUCUCUGAUGUGGUCACUCCCACAUCUGUUGUCAAUCUGCUUCAGGGAAGUACUUGGCCAAAUCUUGUAUUUAGGCCUUGGGAAAGAAUUUCGAAGACCUUAGCGUCUAGUAAGUGUUGCGUUUAUAUGUGGUUGGUCGCACAACGGAUGCUUGCCUUGCUCACUGCGGUUGCCCCAUCAUGAAAGGUGCCCUUUUAUGUGAUCAGGCUAAUGAAAAAAACUAGACAAAGUGUGGUUAAAUCUCCAUAGAGGGUAGGUGUAGAAAUCUUAUCUCAGCCUGAUGCCACUUCCUUUGUACUGUCUUAGCUCGCCACAAUGCUUUUGUCAAGCAUUUCUCGUGAUUUAGGAACGGACAUAAAAGUUGCAUCAUUCCUUUCGUGAGAGGUGAAAAGUCAAAAACUGCCACAUUGGUGAGUUACUGGAGCGGUGCGUGUGAAAAGUCAAAAACUGCCGCAUUGGUGAGAGGUGAAAUGUUUCAUUGUUCAUUUGGCUGAUAAGUCAUGACAGGAAGUACUAUUGACUGAUUUGUUGUGAGAGAAAAACACUACUGAAUGGCUGACAGAUACAACUGAUAAGCUCAAACGAAUCAGCCUACAUCCCAGAUUAGUUUGGAGUGAGCAAAGAUGCUUCAUUCGCAGCACGAGCGAAGCGAGUACCUGCUGUCGGUAGGUUCGGAGUUCAAAAUUUUGUCUGACUAUGCAGAGCAAUGAGCUAGAUCUACAAUGGACUCUUGUAUCUGAAGAAGCACGGAUAAAAUCAUCGUCUGCUCAUAAUCACUGAUGGAAAAGCACAUUAUUCUUCGUCUAGAGUUAUUAGUGCCGCAUGUUCACAAGUUACAUCAUCAUCCGUACGAUUCCGGCUCAAAUGCAUCAUCAUCCGUACGAUUCCGGCUCAAAUGCAUCAUCAUCCGUACGAUUCCGGCUCAAAUGCAGGGAACUAGUUCAACAUUUGCAUAUGCUUCUUAUCGGUACAUGUUUUCCAGAACUUCACUUCUUUGGUGUAUCUGCAUACUUCCAGGAGGUAUGUGCAUAGGAAUUGUAUUGUCUUCCACCAGCCACAUCUUCUGCACGUAUCUGGCUGGCAAUUUCUUCCAGGUCCUCAGCUGUGAGCUUCACCUUCAAGGACUCAACGUUGGCAUCUAGGUUCUUUGUUUUUGUUGUCCCUGAGAAAUUAAUGAACACGUCUCUCAGCAACCAAAUGUUAGGAUGAUUUGAUGACGAUACAAAAAAAACAAUCCUGUCCACUGAUGACUUGCUUCACUUUGAAGUGAAUAACAAGCACAGAUCAAUUGACGUAAGUUUGAAAUUGAACUAUAUUACAGCUAAGUAAAAACCAAAUAUAUCACGAACAACUCAACAGGCUGUACAAAAUACUACAUAUACAUAUUUAGUUAAAGCCAUUUUUAUAUAGGAUCUACGGAAAUUAUAUGUUAUCUCACUGCUCCUCUUGUGAAGCAGCAAAAUUCAAAGAGCAUAAUUUUAACAUUGGACAAAGCUAUUUGUGUUCGUUACCUAUAACUUAAGAAUCAUUUUGCACAUUUCACUUUUCUCAGAAAGUAUAUACAGGAAACCUUUUAACCAUUCAUCUGCUGUUCUUGUUUAUCUUGGGAAUAGUAUGAAUAUCAGCAGUCCAUAUUGUGGGAUAUCAUUGAACGAGGACAGGAUUAUAAGGUCACACCUGGUAUGGGAACCACAUCAUCCCCUUGAUGCAGAACCCAAGCUAGAGCUAGCUGAGCUGGGCUGCACUGGUACUUCUUGGCCAGGUCUUCUAUUUUCAGGUAAAUCUGCUUGUUCUUCUCCAAGCUUUCUGCUGUAAAUCUUGGAUGCCUUUGCUGAUGAAACCAGGGUUAAAAUGCAUAAGUAUUAAACUGAAUCGAUAGAGGUCAGGAUAUCAGUUCCAAGCAAAGUUCUGUUCGUACCAGACUAGAUACAGAAGAAACUUCCUGUGUCACUCCUCUUCCAGCAAAAAAUCCGCGGCCGAUUGGACUGUAAGGCACAAUUCCAAUUCCCAAUUCUCUACAGUCCAUAGAGCACAAUGAAAUUCGUGUUAAAUCAGAACCACAAUCGAGCUUUAUUAAUGAACUUGGUGGAACAGGCCUAAUUUGUGAGUGAUGGAGAACAGAGGUCACCUGCAGAGUGGCACGAUCUCGGGCUCGAUGUCACGGGACCAGAGCGACCACUCCAUCUGCACGGCGGUGAUGGGAUGCACCGCGUGCGCGCGGCGGAUCGUGUCCGGGCUCGCCUCCGACAAGCCGAUGUACUUGACCUUCCCCUCCUCCACCAGCUUCUUGAGCUCACCAAUCUGCAUCGAUUUCGGCACAAUAACUAGUUCAUAACAGCAGCAGCAGCAGCAAGAAGAAUGAGAAUGCGGCCGGCAAGGUGGCCAAGAGACGCAGACCGUGUCCUCGAUGGGGACGGUGGUGUCGACGCGGUGCUGGUAGUAGAGGUCGAUGUAGCCGGCGUCGAGGCGGCGGAGGCUGGCCUCGCAGCAGGCGCGCACGUACUCGGGCGUGCCGCACACGGUCAUGCCGCCGGCGGCGCCCUGCCCUAUCCCGAACUUGGUGGCCACCUGCACCUGCUCCCGCGGCAGCUGCUUGAGCGCCUUCCCCAGGAGGGUCUCGUUGGUGUGGGGCCCGUAGGCGUCGGAGGUGUCGAAGAAGGUGACCCCGCGGCGGAAGGCGUGCGCGACGACGGCGGCGACGGCCUCGUCGCCGAGCGGCGCGUUGUAGGAGCCCGUGAGCCCCAUGCACCCGAACCCCAGCUUCGACACCUGCAUCCGUGCAUCGCCCGGUGGUCGGUCGGAAUCGAGCCGAGCAGCCGAGUCAGUUCGAGGCAAUCGACGGAGGCACAGAGAGAGAGAGAGGAAAGAGGAACGAAGUCGAUCACCUCCAGCCCCUGGGUGCCGAGCUUGACGCGGGGAACCUGCGGUAGGGCGGCUGGCUCCAUGGCGCGGGCGGCGGGCGGCUGCAGUCUCGGGGGAUCGAAGGCUGCCGUGCUGAGUGAAGGCUGGAACUGGAAGUGGAAGGGAACUCGGCUCAGCAGUGCAGUGGGUAGUUGCUGACAGGGCAUAAAAGAGGACGAUUCCUGGCAGCUCUGUCACAUCACAUCGGCUCGUCACAGGGUGACCAGCCAUGAACUUUACGAUCAGUUUUAUGAGCACAACAAAUCAAUAUGUUUUUAUGCAUCUUCGGAGGCUGGCAUCGCCCAGUGAUGGUGACAAUUGAUACGAGUUCGCUGAAAAUCUGCCGCCGGAGUCUUGCCAAAUCACCUUCUAAGGGCCGCGAUAAGGCUGCCUGUAAUUCUAUUCCAGUCAUUCUGUCUCUGUCGAGUAAUGGAACUGAGUAGUACGUGUAAAGUUUGGAUGGUUGAGAUAGUAGUUUACGGCGUCUUGCAAAGUUUGGAUGAUUGUUACGAGACUAGAUCGUAAAAUAGUUUCCUGAAAUUGUGCUCUGAAGUGUGUUGUUAUAUGCGGCGAUAAGGCUGUAAUCCAAUUACAGUCAUACGUGUUCCUAUACGCUCAGGUUUCAGACUCUUCUUCUUCUUCUUCUACAACAUUUCACUGCAAAUGCUCUGAGUCUGAGAAAGUAGAAAGAGGAGCAAGAUGCCUGUAUAGUACUACUUGCCUACCGGUAAGUACAUCGUCGCCAAAGAUGUCUGAUGCAGAUUGAACUGUACUGGUAAAAACAAACCCAGCCAUCCUCAGAAUCAUGAUUCUGCACUUUGGCGGUGAACUCGUCAUAGCUAGAAGCCUAGAAAGCAAUAAAGAAACUUAGAAACUUCAGCAUUCCCUUUUCUAGAACUCAAAGGCCCCCUUUGAAAUGCAUUUUUUUUUUUUGGAAUUCUAUGUUUUUCUUGUAAAAUUGAACUGAUUUCCAGUUCUCUGAUUUUUCCUGUGAAACUAAUGAUUCCUGUAACUCAUGCCAAAUUGAAUUUAUUCUUAUAAAAUUCCUCCCUAAAACUGUUGCAUCUGUAAGAAGCUGCAACUUACUUCGCAUUUCUCAACAUGGUCUCAGAGAGUUGUGUUUUGGUUUUGCUUGUUUCUCGUUCUCAGGCCCAAAUGCGGAUUAAAAGCGAACAGAUGGUGGCAUGUGUUUCCUGCCUACAUGCUGAUUGAGCUAGCACACAUCACUGUUUUUUUUUUGCGAACUAUAUGGUAGGUUCACACAACCACAAUUCAUGCGACAACAUAUAACCAUGAGCAAACUCUACACUCAUUAGUCUUAGCUUCACAUAAGUACACCCAAAAUCAAAUUCCUGCUCGUACUUCCAUCAACACUGGGCCCUUCAUUGUUCUUCUCUGUACAUUACUUAGAACAGGUAUUAACAAAGACACAUCGACAAUGUUCCUGAGGAAAUCUGCAGGGAGAGUGCCACGCCAAUCGCAUCAGCAUUGAUGCUUUGACGUAUUUUUUAGCUCUGCUUCUUGGGUGUAUCAGCAUACUUCCAGGUGGCAUGUUCAAAGGAAGCGAAUUGUCUCCCACCAGCCACAUCUUCUUCACGUAUCUGGCUGCCCAUUUCUUUCAGAUCUUCGUCUGUCAGUUUCACCUUCAAGGAGUCAAUGUUGGAAUCUAGAUUCUUGAUUUUGGUUGUCCCUGAGAAAUUGUAGGAAACAUCUGUCAGUGACUAAACGUAGGACUAUAAGAAUUCAGAACAUAUAGCUAUUAAGCAUGACUACUGAUGACUUGCUUGAACUUGGAAGGGAAUAAUAAGUGCAGAAAGACUCAAGAAUAAGUCAGUUAAAUCGCACCACAUUUCAAACCAACAAAAGUCUUUCAUAGCUCAGUAAAAGAGAUCAUAUGGCACAAACUAUUCAACAAGCUAUCAUGCGCACACAUUUGGAAGGAAGGAGUUUACUUCCCUUCAAAACAAGGAAAUGUUGUUUGAAUUGGAUGUGUUCCUCUACAUUAUUGUGGUUCUCUGCCAAAGCAGACUAUAUCAUAAUUGAAACACUCCCAAAUCACACUACUUAAACUAUUUCCAAUCAUUAAUGGUCUAUUAAUAUGAUGUGAUACACUUUUCCCUGAAAGUAUAUACAACAAAAAGGUGUCUGGAAAUGCAUCUUUAGGUGAUCAACUCUGUGACUCAUCAGUCUCUGAAACGCUAACCGUCGUCAAUGAUAAGAGAAUAAGAUUAUAAGGUCACACCUGGUAUAGGAACCACAUCAUUUCCUUGAUGCAGAACCCAUGCUAAAGCUAGCUGAGUAGGGCUGCACUGGUGCUUAUUGGCCAGUUCUUCCAUUCGCAGAUAAAUUUGCUUGUUCUUCUCCAAAUUUUCAGGAGCAAACCUUGGGAUCCCAUGCUGACAAGUCAAAGUUAAAUCUGUAAUAAGUGAACUAAGACAAAGACUUUGAUGCAGACCAAGAAAUGAUUUUGUUUUUCGGCAACAAAAGAAAGAAAUGAUAUUCUGAGGUAGACUGUAUCAAUACCAGAACAGAUUCAGCGGACACUUGUUCUUUCACUCCUCUUCCACCGAAAAACCCACGGCCAAGAGGACUGUAUGGUACAAUUCCAAUGCCCAAUUCUCUGAAGUCCACAGAGCAUAAAGAAUCUCAAUACAUAACAAUAUCCGGUCAGGACCUCCAUGGGCUGGAACAAAAGAAUUUGCAAUCCAUCAAAUCACCUGCACAGCGGCACAAUUUCAGGCUCAAUGUCGCGAGACCAGAGAGACCACUCCAUCUGCACGGCGGUGAUCGGGUGCACAGCGUGUGCACGCCUAAUGGUGUCCGGGCUCGCCUCUGACAAUCCGAUGUACUUGACCUUCCCCUCCUCCACCAACUUCUUGAGCUCGCCAAUCUGCAAUGGUUUCGAACAAAGAAAUCACAUGAGCAAACUCACCAGCAACGGCAACUGCUGGAAGGCAAGGCUACAGAGACCGUCUCCUCGAUGGGAAUUGUGGUGUCAAUGCGGUGCUGGUAGUAGAGGUCGAUGCAGUCGAUGUCGAGGCGGCGCAGGCUGGCCUCGCAGCAGGCGCGAACGUACUCCGGCCGUCCGCACACGGUCCGGUUGCCGCUCUCGUCACGCAGUAUCCCGAACUUGGUGGCCACCUGCACCUGCUCCCGCGGCAGCUGCU